rnacentral:lncRNA from 1 species
UGUGGUUAUUAGGUUUUGUAACAUGAUCUAGUUAAAAUCCAACUGAAUUGGCUGGUCAAAUAAUAUUUGUACAGGAUCCUCAUUUAUAUUUAUCUCAGAUUUUGUAGGCAAUUUAUUAGGAAAAAUUCUGGAUACAAUUGACACUUGUCAAGUUCCACUAAGGGAACUAGAGAGAUAUAUAUGGUGAGAAGGGUUCGCAUGAAGGGUUUUCUUCUUUUAAUACUAUUAUCUAGUUCUUCUACUUAAACUUAUUUGUUUUUUUCUCCUUUAUUAAGUUAGAAGCUAAGGUUCUUGAAUUAAUGAGCGGAUGUUCUAUCUCAUGGUAAGUUUGAUAGCUCUGCAUGCUAAGUUUUUGAAAGAAGGGUAUUAAGAAACAUAUGAAUAGUGAGUUGUGAAUAAGAGACCCCGUAUAGGGGUCGUCUGUGAUUGAGAUAUUAUCCAUUUGUCUAUGAAUGGGUUUUAAUGGUGGUUCCAUGUUCUUUAAGAAAUUGCUGCUGCUGGUUCGAGAGGGAUGUUCAAGUUUCGAACUCCAAGCUAUAGUUUAGGUGAGUAUCAUGUGAGUUUCUAUCUUAGCUCCUGUAUGUGCACUGUUCAAAUAGGGUUAUAUAUAAUGAUAACGUCUCAAAAAACUGGUAAGUGUGUUUUGCAGUAAUGUAAAGAUUUUACUUGGUUUAGGAUGAUAUGUGUGAGGUAUUGUGUGCGUAAUAAGUAAAAUGGUAAGUAUGCCUCUGAUAUCGGAUAUGAGUAAAUAAGAAUCAAUCAGGUAUGUGAAUAAUCUAGGUAACUAACUUCUGUGUAAACAUCUAUUGUGAUGCCUUUGGUUGGGCAAUUAUAGUUCUAACCAGACUGGAAUAUCAUGAUAUGAUGAAACAUGUAAGUUCAUGUGGUAGAGACCCGUGUCAUUAUAUGAUAAGUAAGACAUUCAUGGUGGUGCCUCUAGUGAAAUGAAGAAUGGACUGGAAAAUCACGACAUGAAUAUGUGUAAGUCCAUGAGUCUGAGAAUCAUGACGUAAUAUGAUAAUAAGAAUGUUCAUGGUGAUGCCUUCGGUAAGAUGUAAAUCAGACUGACAGAUCCCAACAUGGAGAUAUGAAUAAGUCUAUGAGAGAGAAACCCAUGAUACCUUUUGUGGAAGUCCGUCGGGCCAGUAAAUAUGUGAUUCAGUGUGUUGCCUGUGUGGCGUGAUCUGCUAAGCCUUGGUGGUGUAUUCUAUGUUGCCAUUGUAGCGAAUUAUAGAAUGCCUAUGUGGCGUAUUCAGGGGUGCUUAUGUGGCAGAAUUUGAUUAUCCACCUUUGUGGUAAGUUCUAAGAUCUCUUUGAUAAAUGAUUCUAUGAUAAUGGUCUGAUACGUCUGAAGUUAGCUUGGUUUGGUUAGGCUUGUGAGGAAAUUGGUUGAGUUUUAAAGAAAGAAUCAGCCAUAGUAGUCUACUAGUAUAGGAUAUGGGCGUAUUCAUAAUUAUGAAGGGUAGAAGUGUUCGUUGGUAAGAAUUCAUCUACACUAUGAAGGGCUGAAAUAUAAAUAAUCAGGUAUCUGCCAUAUCUGAAUGGUAUCAUGUCUCGUUCUGGGGUUAUUUGGAAUCUGAACCAUUUGUCAAUUUUGACAUUCUUGUGUUAUGUAAUAUAGACGUAUGGAAUUCUUCUGAAUGAUCCAGAAUGUUUCAUCAUUAGUAUGAGUUUGUUUUGGGUUUAAUUCAAGAUACGAUCUGAUUGGUGGACUGGCAGCUGCUAAACACAGUAUGGGAAUCUGCCAAGUGUAAGGUUAAUUAGUAAUUAUCCACUAAAGAAUAGUGUCUAUGAAUAACCAUUUUGGGAAAAAUGUGAAGUGUUGUUUGAAGAGGAAAUUCGAUGAAAGUGAGUUCUGUAUAGAUAUUCUUCUUAGAAGUAUCUUGUGUUCUAUGAAUGAUUAAGAUCUAUAGUGACUGGUACAAUUUGGAAUCGGUCUAGGAGUGAAAUGAGAGUGACACAUUAAGUAUAGAAGCUGACAUAUAGGUAUAUAUAUGAUAUUAUGAAUGUAUUAGCCAAAGAUAGAGUGAUAAUCCAAAAUCUUCAAUAUGAAGAAUUCAACUAUAAAGGCUCCAAGGUAUUUUGUAUUUAAACUGACUAGGUUCGCAUGAACUUACAAACAUUUUGUUCGUGUUUCAAGAGUUCACUAGGAGAGACCAAGCCAGGGAUGCACUAGAGAAAUUGGUGAGGGGAUAUUAUGCGCACAAAUGAGAUCUUAGUAGUAUGACAUAUAGUUCUCUAUGCCAAUGAGAGUAUGUCUUUAAUGAACUUCUGUGUUUAAUGUAUUAUAUUGUUUUUAAGGGUCUGUUUGUAUUCUUGAACGUUUUCUUUAUCUCUUUUAUUUAGAAGACCUUUAUUAAAAUAAUAUGAAGUAAGUUGAAAAAGGAUUAUACACAGAUGGUUUAAAAUUUAUGCUAAGUGUUCGUAUGUGUAAACAUCCGUUAUCCAGAUCUGGUGAUUCGGGUUUGGUAAAAGGUGUUACAUAUAAUUUUUUUGAGAAAAUUAGUUAAUAAAAUUAUUAAUUAAUUACAUUAAUACUUUGUAUAUUGUCCUCACCUGGUUUUUGCACGCAAAGAAAAAUAGAAGAAAAUGUUGCUCAUUGGUUGUCUAAUGUUUAAAUAAUACUAAGCGGUAUUACGUGGUCGGAUCAUAGUAUGGAAAGAAAACUAUCAGUAGAAGAACCUAAAAAUGUCCGUAGUGUAAUUGGGGAUGAGCAAACCGAUUGAAAGACUAAUAUGUCGUCUAUCAAGUCUAAUUAGGGAGAUAUCUUAUCAUGGGCAUCGGAGCAGAUUACUUUCAGAAGAUAGAGACAUAUAUGUGACUGACAUGACUGACAGUACAUUAGAUAGGACCCAAGAAUAAUAGAUCCUAAAUCUGUUUAUGGAUUUAUUCACUUGUGAUGUUCAUAGGGUAGCAUACCUAAAUCCUGAGUGGAUGGCAGAUUAUGUAUGCGUGACUCGUACACUUUGAUGUAAUUAAAAGCCCGAGUUCAAAUAGAUACAGAACCGAAAGCUGGUGCGUUGGGUGUACGACUUUUGUAGUAUGUAAUGUCAUUGAAAAUAGUGGAUUUCAUAGCCCAAAACAUGGGUAAAUGAUAUCUUCUCAUUAGCAUUACUUGAUCACUAUUUGAUGGUGAUUGAAUUUUCAUGAAGAAAGAUGUAAUGAUUAUCGUAAGAUAAAAUAGGAUCAUAUUGGGAGAACAAAUAUUAUCCCAAAGAGAUCAAGGAUUUCCUAUGAGGGUAACACACUAAUGACAAGGUCAUUAGACGAUUACUGAGUAGUUGCUUUCGUAAUGGUAUGUCGUCGGAGAGAGUUCAACCAUGAUACUAUAGUGGAUUGACUUUAUGACUAAAUGAGCCUAUAAUUAAUAGGCAAAAAGUCAAAGCUUAAUUAUAAAACAUUUGAGCGUCAACUACAUAUGUCCAAUCAGUCCCUCCGCUAGCUCGUUGAAAUAAAAAAAUAAUUUCAUGUUUGAAUAGAAAUGAAUGAAAUGAAUAGAAGAAGUGAAAUUGGGAACAUUCGAGAAUGAUUAUGGUUUUCUUUAAAAUGGAGAAAUGGAAUCAUUUGAAAAUGAAUGUAGGUUUCCAAAAAUGGAAAUGAAAAUGGAAAUUUGCAAUCCUAUAUGGAUUACUUAAAAAAUGAUGGGAAUAAUGAGUUCAUGUUUUUAGACUAUUUUGAAGCCCGAAAAGGAGAACAAACUAUUCAACAAAAAAAUAUACACUAUUUUGAUCUCCUACUCUAUUUAGACUGAAUAGUUUGUUUUCAUUUUCUAUUUGAAAUGUCAACCGCUCUCCUACUCUAAGUAGGAAGUGAUUUUUCUAUUUGAAAUAAACCACUACAACCCAAGAAGGGUUCUAUAUUCUCUUCCUAUAAAUAGAUGACACUGAUAGAGCUAUUUACAUAAUUGUUAUUCUGCCAAAAAUAGAGAGAAUUUAUUCUCAACUAUUACAUAUAUUUAUCCGGAGUAAUAAUUCUAACAAUUACUAUUAAAUAAUAGAGAAUUUUUGUUUUCACCCCAAAAAGAAAAGAAAGCUUUUUCUAGUUCCGUGUUUUGUUUCAAUUGGUUCAAGCCUAUACUUGAAGUAGUUUGUGGUACGAGAAUAGUGAAGAAUAUCUUUUCAUUGAAAGCCAGAAAAUAUCAAGAAUUUGCUUAUCUGAAAAGACAUGUAUGAUUGUUCAAGGUUUAAUGCUAUAAAUACCACAUAUAUAGUCAGUUUUCAAAAUUUUAAUUUUCUGCUAUGCAAGAAAACUGUUUUCAAAAUAAGUUUUUUUCCAACAGUUUUGUGGAGAAGGUGAAUCAUAAAUCUUCUCUCCACUAUCGUUCUAUCCUAUUUAUAGAUAACCAAUGUACAAAUCCCAAUUAGGAUUAUCUCUAAUCAUUACUUAUUCUCGCAUGCUUCCACUAAUUAAUAACAUCUGACGAGGCUCUAUAAGUGUCCUAAUUAUUGACUCGUUCCCUCCACUAGGAUGUCAGAUGACUUAAACAUGUCUUACAAGCCAUAGGACUUACUUAAGGAAUGAUAUUGAAACACGAGUGAUUAUCUUAUUAGUCGGAAAGUCUACCUAAUAAGGUGUUCGUCCUAACUAUAUCCUCAUUUAUUGCUCAAAUUGACACUCCGCAGCGUUGGCGAAGUUCUUUGUAGUGCUCCACCACAAAGUUACCAACCUUAUCCGAUCUAAGUCUUGCAACUUAGGUGGCCUCCGCUAGUGUAGUCUCCCAAACCAAACCGAUUUGCCAAACCAGGAUUUGACAAAAAAAUUCAAGUACUAAGUUAAUAAAAAUUGACCAAUUCGAAGACUAAAUGUUACCUUAUAAUAAAACAAUAAAGAGGUUUAAUUAGAAAUGUUUAAGGUAAAUUACUCAGUUGGCAACCCAACUUUUAGGGCGCUUUCAUAUUAGUUACCCAAGUGUCAAAUCCGUAAUAAUGACAAACUGUAUACGCCGAAUCAUGUCCACAUCGUGUUUACACUUUCAUUUUGAUCACCCAAGUUCUAGGUCACUUUCAUUUUGGUCAUUGAAUUUUUUUAAAAUUUUUGAUCUAGGUAAAACCAUUAAGGAUUAAAGUGAAAAAGUGGUAGAAACUAAAAUGAUUGAUUAAAAAUUUGUCAAAUUGUACAAUUAAAUAAAUUGUUGAAACUUUUAUCCCUUGAAAAUGUCAACCGAUUUGUUACCAUAACAUUGAAAUUAAUUUAAUUAAUUAAUUUAAUCUCCUAAAUUUUAAAAUUUUGUUUUAUGUUUCCAAAUUAUCCUUAAUGAAAUCAACUCCAAUAAAUCAUAUUUAUUAAUUUUCUAUGAAACUUAAAUCUAUUUUGAUUAUAUAAUAUCGAAUCUUCCAUGUUAAACUAAAAGAUAAGGAAAAAAAUCAUUGCAAUUAAUUAAGUUAAUUGUUUGUUCUUCGUUUGGGUAAAGAAAUGAAAAUAAUUUUGGAUUUGUUUGGCAUGUAAGAAAGUUAGUUAAUAUAAGAGAAAAAAAUUAUUUAUUUUUUUUCUUAACAUUGAAUAUUCAAGAUCAUAUAAAAAAAAUUAAGUUCGGUAGACAAUUAUUAAAAAUAAGUGAUUUUAUUUGAUUUUAAUUUGGAAACAUAAAAUAAAAUUUUAAAAUUUAAAAUGAGGCUAAAUUAGUUAAUUUCAAAAUUAUAGUACCAAAUCGACUGACACUAUCAAGGGAAGACAAAAUUUCAGUAAUUUAUUUAAUUGAUUGUAAUGUUUUAAAAUUUAAAAUUUAAAAUUUCAGUAUUGAAAAAAAAAUUAGAACUUUGGGCAAGGGGGUAAACAAAGAUAAUAUGACAGUUUUUUAACUCAUUAUUUUAGUUGUUAUCGCUUUUUUACUUUAAUGUUUAAUGUUUUUACCCCCAUAAAUAUUUUAAAAAAUAUUUUUUGUGGUGACGAAAAUAAAAGCGGCCUAGAAGUUGAGUGACUAAAAUAAAAGUUUAAACAUGAUGUGGUAUGUACAGUCAACCAUUGUUAGAGAUUUAACGUUUGGAUGACUAAAAUGAAAACGCUUUAAAAGUUGAGUGACUACCACAAUAGUUUAUCCAAAAAUUUAAGAAUAAAGCUAAAAGUUGCAUUGAAAGAUUUAGUUGAAUUGCCCUUUUUCAGGGAAAAGUUAAGUAUGUUAUGGGGUACUUUGAUUUGACACUACUUUAAAGGCCUGAUUGAACUUUGAGACGACGAAACUGUCAUGUAUGGUGAAUCAGCUAGUUAUAAAAUCAAUUUUUUUACUCAAUUAACCCCCACAAUUAAUAUUUACGAAAAUGAUCGAAGUUGAAAACUUAUAACGAAAAUGACUUAAAAUCUAUAGUGUCGAGUGGUGCCGACACUCCGAUGGCCGACACCAAAGUCAAUCAUCGUGUAUUGAUUGCUUGUUAAUUGGGUUGGGGUUUAAAAAACUAAUUUUUUGAUAUAAGUUUUUCAAAAAUACAAGUAUUUGCCAGUUAAAAAGUAUUUUUUAUUAGGUUACGGCAUCUAGGUGGCUGACACGCCGACACCAGGAAAAAUAAUCCAAAAUUUAUGUUUUGGCAUUUUUUAGUUUUGGCAUUGCGAUGGCUGGCACUCGUGUCGAAUGGAUUUUUUUUGGUGCUGCCACCGGUGUGGUUUUUAAUUUUUUUGCCGGCGUUCUCUGGUUUUUAGGAACGGUGACUGUUUGGUUUUUCUUCAUUAAGCUUUGGACAAUGCGACUCCUAAACUUUCAAUUGCAUGAGAAGUGAUAUUUGAAGAAAAUAACACAAUAUCAGUAGAGAAGAGCACUGGAUAUUUGAGAAGAAAAAUAAAAUGAUUUUGAGUCCAGUUUACUGAUGAUAGUACUUAGUAUGUAAAAUAAACAAGAGAACAAGAAGAUGAAAAGAAAAAUGGAGAGUUGUAUAAAAAAAAGAAGAGUGGAAGAGAAGAAAGCAAGACAAAUUUAAAUUUGACAUUUAUGGUUUUAAUAGAAAAAAAAAUUUGUAUAUGGAAUUACAUUCACAAAUUUAAGUAAUGGAAUUACAUUAAAAAAUUUGUUUAUGGUUUUGAUGAUGGACUUUUGUAAACUUGUCAGUCGGAGGCCCGGGUCACAAAAGAGAUGCAUUUUAAAGGAAAGGAGGGAGGUAAAGGCAUGGAUAUAGUGGUUGAUUCAUCACCAGUGAGGGCUCUUUCUUGGAAUGAAAAACUUUUGGGGAGAGGUGCUACUAGAUCUCGAGACUCAUCGGGUGUUCCUGAUAGGGACUUGAGGAGGACUUCGACUUUCUAGAAUGAGGUAUAUUAGAUCUAUAGUUAAUGGGAUUCUGUCGAUUGAAUUUUCCAAUAGGGUACAACAAAUGCUGGAAAAGUAAAUGGCAACUACGAUGGUAGUCAAGCUAUUGGGGAGAAAUAUUGGAUAUAAUACUUUUCAAAACAAGAAUUUCAACUUGUGGAAGCCGCCUAGGCCAUUUCAACUAAUGGACGUUGAACAUGGAUAUUAUUUGGUAAAAUUUCAAAGUAAUGACGACUUUGAAAAAGUGUAAACUCAAGGACCGUGGGUAGUGUUUGGACAGUACCUAACUGUUUAGCCAUAAACACUGGAUUUUAACCCUCUCCAACCAUACCCAAGCAUUGUAAUGACAUGGAUCAGAUUGUCAAGUUUGCCUGGUUUUUUAUACAAAAGGAAAAUAUCUGAGGAGAUCGACAAUUUGGUCGGCGGAGUAGCAAAACUCGACUACAAUAUUGACAGUAAAUCGAGAGGAAGAUUUUCCUGAAUGACGAUUUUCGUGAACCUUGACAAGCCAUUGAUCCCUCAAGUUUUGGUGAAUGGUAAGGCUCAACUCAUGGAAUAUGAGGCUUUGCCGUCGAUUUGCUUUGGAUGUGGUAGGUACGGCCAUACGAAAAAUCUAUGCCCUCACAUUUUUGGUAACUAUAAUUCCACCAUAUAGAAGGGCGAGACGACAGAUCCAUCAAUAGGAGAAAAUACGUCGACCAAGGUGGCGGGGGCAUUUGGGUCGUGGAUGGUGUUGGAGAGAAAAAUACGACAGAAUUUUAGGGAGAAUCAGAAUCAAAAUGCUAGAAAUCAAGAGGAUUUUUUUGGAUCAAGAUUCGAUAUCUUGAACCCUCUGGAAGAUGGAAACGACGCUAUUAAUGGAGAUUUAGCAGAUCUAUAGGGCAUCACUAUUUAGAAAGGUGAUUUUAUUAAGAGUAAUGUUAGGGUUGAGGGAUAUGAUGAUGUUAGAAGUGGGCCAGGUAAGAAAGGUGUAAAUUAGAUUUCUAUAGAUAGCCUGGUAGGUGAUCGUGAGCCAAAUGGAAAUGAAAACCUUUAUGGGUUAGUAAAGAAAGGGCCUAGACUAAAAAAAAUGGUGUUACAUGUGAUUUUAGGUAGAUUGGGGAAACUAGGCCAAUGGUAGAAAAAGCAAAUUUAAUUCGGGCUAGCAAAUUAUAAGGGUGGGCGAAAAUUGGAAAGUGUCAUAUCUUUGCAUAACUUUAAUAAUUCAAAAAAUAAUUAUGGUAUAGUGGAUGCUAAUUCUGGAAAUUCUCACGAUAAUGAUCUUUUAAUGAAGGAGAUGUAUAUUGAUAAUGGGGCGAAAUUAUCAUUUAGUCCCUGUUUGGCUACGACAUCGCACUUUAAUCCUACCUUUGAGGGACUAGUUGAAACCACAGUAUCACUUAGUGGUAGUGUUUUGGAUCUAGGAACGCAUUCUGUUGUUACCUUCAAAGAAAAUUCUAACCUAGUUACUAAUAAGCAAUAAGAUGAAGUUAGACUCAGUGAUUCUAGUAAAAGCAUUCUAGUUCCUAAAGGGCAUAGUCUUGGGACAAAAGAGGGAUAUGUCUGAUGUAACACCAUAAACCCGGCCUAGACGUCCAGCCCAAGUUUAUAGAGUUACCUCAUCGAUUAUAAAACGUCACGCAACAACACAAAUAAGCUAAACCAUGUUUCAUAUCACAUUUAUCAUAAAACAAAUUAAUUAUAUAAUCUUCUAAAUUUCAUACUGUUAUAGUUUACCGAAAUUCCUCAUACUACUUAUAGAAAGAUAACGCUUGACAGAGCAUCCGUUGCGCCGACCCAUUCAAGACUGGGAACCACAUGAAAUCCAAUAAAAAACAAAAUGAGUUGUAAACUCAGUUCGUAAAAGAAGUUUAUUCAGUUAAUGUCCACUUAUAAGGUAGUUCCAAAUUCAGAGAAUUAGUUCGAUACAAAAUUAAUUACAGUUUAGAUUCACGACAGAUCAGUUACCUAUAGAUAUGCAAUUUCAGUUCAUAUACAAUGCAGGUAAGAUUUAGAUGCAGAUAUUCCUAACCCUAUCUGCUACACACCAUCUUCAACCAUCCCAACACACCGUUAAGUGCAUCCAAUACCCAAUCAACCUUACACACCACAAAGUGUUUCUCUGACACAUUUAUAGAAACACAUAUUAGCUGCUGGAUCAUAAUGUGACGAAGUGCCAGAAUCAGAACUAUACACAUGGUGGCUUAACCACUGAUUCAGAGUGGAUUACUUCCUUCAUCAUACAUCCCAACCCAUACAAAUACAGAGUAUAAUUAUCUACAAUACACUUACAAUUAUGAUAUUCAUACGUCCGUUACAGAGUAUCAGAGAGUUCUCGUUCAGUUAAAUUCAAAUCAUUCAUACAAUAAGGAAUCAAUAUCAGCCAUAAACAACAUUUACGACCUCAAAAAGGGUUUCAGGCCCCUUUUACGAUGCCAUACGGCUUGGACACACGCUCAUAUCCUUGCCCGUGUGGCUCAAACGACUUGGACACAUGCCCAUGUCCUUUACCCGUGUGGUUCUAAAACGUAAACAGAGAGUUACACGACUCGGACACACGACCAUGUCCUUGCCUGUGUGACUCACACGGCCUGGGCACACAGCCGUGUGCUUGCCCAUAUGGUUCUAAGUCACAAAUAGUGAGUUACACGGACUAGACACACGCCCGUAUGCCAUGCUUGUGUGGCCUCAAAUCGAUGAAUAGUAAGUUACACGGCCACCCACACAUCCUAGCGAUCCACACGGCCUAGAAACACGCUCAUGUGCUUGGCCGUGUGGCGUCGACAGCCACCAUUUUCGGUGAACAAAACUUGCAAAAGCUAAGGAUUUUGAUACGCGCUUAGUUUCUCUUUGAUGGGAAAUAAGACAGAGAUUACUUGAAAACUAAUUGAUCAUUCAGUAAUCAAUCAAUUGACUAAAUGACCAAUUAACACAACAAUAAUACACAAUCAACUAUGCCGAAUAAAUUGACACGAGGGAACUUCAACGACUAACGCUUAUCGAUGAUUUAACUCGAAUUUUUUGCGAGUACAAUAGAGAAUUUAAGCUUGAUAUCGUGGGAUUGUUAAGGACUAGAGUAAAUGGAAGUAAAGCAGAUUGUAUCAUUGCUAAAUUAGGUUUUCAGUUCUCUUAUCGGAUAGAAGCUAUUGGUUUUUCUGUUGGUAUUUGGGUUGGUUGGAAGGAUUUUAUACAAGUUGAGAUUAUCCAGAAUCAUUCACAAUUUCUUUUGGUUUGGGUCAUUUCCAAUGUUGUGAAAUCUCCUGUUUUUAUCUCCUUCAUUUAUGUGAGUCUUGAUAGAUAGAAGAGAAGGCUUUUUUGAGAGGGUUUAAAAUUGACUGUGUCUGAUGUUUCUAUGCCCUAGAUGGUUUUUGCUAAUUUUAAUGUCAUUAUAUCUUUCUGUGAAAAGAAAUGUGGACAUAUUCAUGAAAGAAUAUUCAUGAAAGAAGGUGUCCUUAUUUUAGGGAUUUUAUGGAGUCACCUGACCUUCAUGAUUUGGGAUAUAAAGGUCCCUCAUUUACUUGGCAUAGAGGUGGGGUUCAUGAGCGCCUUGAUAAAGCCAUAGGUAAUAAUGCUUGGAUUGAAGCCUUUCUGCAUUAUUUGGUGUCCCACCUUCCGAGAAUUAAGCCUGAUCACAGGCCUCUACUCAUGUCUCUAAGAUCAGAUGUUAUCCCAUCUAGAGGUAGACCUUUCAGGUUUUUUACUAGAUAGACUGAACAUCCAGAAUUCUCAGAGUUGGCUAAUAAUAAUUGGAGUUAUAAUGGGGAUAUGACUACUUCUAUUGCUAAAUUAACUUCCGAUAUUAAAAAUUGGAAUAAGUCUGUCUACAGUCAUAUUUGAUAUCGUAAAAGAUAGUUGUUAUAGAAACUUACUGGCAUUCAAAAGGUUAUGUGAAGGUCAGAUUCUAAUUUGUUAAUUUAGCAAGAAAUAGAGGUGCAUGAACACUUGGAGAGUGUCCAGCAUGAGGAACUUCUUUGGAGCUAAAAAACAAGAUGUGAUUGGUUAGUCUUGAAGGAUCAAAACAUUAAUUUUUUCCAUAGACGAAUAAUUCAUAGGAGAAAGCAUAAUAGGAUUACUGCUCUGAGGAAUGAGAACGAAGAGUGGGUUUUCGAUAACGCUCUGUAGGUUGAGGUGAUUAAGUUUUUUCUGAGUUUAUAUGGAGAGGUUCUUGAACCUUUGAGUGGAAUUCCAUCUAGUGCGUUUCCUAAACUUGAGAAUGCGGAGGUUCAUUUUUGAGCAAUGAAGGUACAGAUGAGGAAAUUAGAACUACCCUAUUUGAUAUGGCUUUGCUUAAAGCUCCAAGAAGCGGAGGGUUUCAUGCCUUAUUCUUUCAGACUCAAUGGGACCACAUUAGUACAAUUAUUUGUAAUUGGGUUAGGUUAGUGUUUUUCGAGAAAGCUAUUAAUUCAGAUUUGAAAUAACACUUUAAUUAUUCUUAUUCCCAAGGUUCAUAAUCCUGAAAGCUUUUCUUAGUUUUGGCCAAUCAGUUUAUGUUCAGUCCUCUACAAACUGGUAAUAAAAAUCAUCGCUAAUCGAUUUAAAGUAAUUUUUCCUAAGAUUAUUGCAUAAGAACAAGCAUGAUUCAUUUCUGAAAGAAACAUCAUGAAUAAUAUUAUUAUAGAUUAAGAAGUUAUUCAUUCCAUGAAAAACAAGCAGAAGAACAGAAACUGGAUGGUUAUUAAAGUUGAUUUGGAAAAAGCUUAUGAUUGGUUGAGAUGAGAGUUUAUCGAUACUUCUCUCCAUGCUACAGAUAUCCUUGAUUUUCUUCGUAAUGUUAUUAUGUCUACUAUUACGAACUCUAAUUUGCAGAUCAUGAUAAAUAGAGUCCCAAUUGAGAAGGUUCGACCUAUUAGGGGCAUCCAAUAGGGGCGUUCGCUUCCUCUAUACCUCUUCAUUUUGAGCAUGGAUUGGUUAGGACAUGGUAUUAAGUUUUCCAUUACCAUGGAUCAGUGGAAGCCUACCAAGUUUUCGCGCAUAGGGCCUACCCUUUCUCACAUCUUUUUUGCAGAUGAUCUCAUUUUUUCGAGUGAGUGGAGGUGUAGCAAGCCAAAAUCAUAAAAGGUAUGAUGGAAAGUUUUUGUGGUUAUUCCAGCCACAAGUUAAUUCUCGAAAGACGAACAUCUUCUUUUCUAAGGUGUUAACAAGGAGUUGGGGGAGCAGAUCAGUAGUAUUUUUUGUUAUCAUAAGGUUCAAAACCUCGGUACGUAUUUAGGGUACCCCCUUUUGAUGAUAAAGUUACUAAUAGUACUUUAACGUUUGUUAUGGAUAGGGUUUGGAGUAAGCUGUAUAGUUUGGAUGUGAGACAUUUGUCUCUGGUAGGAAGGUUCAUUUUGGCUCAAUCUGUCUUAUUGUCGAUUCCAAGCUAUUUCAUAUAGUCCAUGAUGGUCCCUAAAGAUAUUUGUGUAGAAAUAGAAAUCAUAGUUAGACAAUUUAUCUAGUGAUCCUCAGUUGGGGGAAGGAAAAUAACAAUGGUUAGAUGAGAAGAUAUUUGCCAACCCCGAUCUUGUAAGGGGCUGGGCAUUAGGCAUCUGCAGGAUCAGAAGACUUCCUUUAUGGCUAAGAUUGGUGAUGAUGAAUGCAAAUUCUCUUUGGGUAAGUUUCCUGAAGUCGAAGUACAAAGUACAAAGUUCAAGAUGAGACUCCAAAGGAUAUAUUGAGGGGAAGAUGCUCGUUUCUUUGGAGGGCCCUUUCAAAGACCUGGCCUCUAAUCUGUGAAAACUUAAUAUGGUCUGUGGGAAAUGGUUGCAGUGUUAAAUGCUGGUUGGAUCCCUGGCUUCCAAAUGUUUGGCCGUUUGUAGAAAAAAUCCAUUCAAAUUCUAAUCUUGAGAGGGAUUGUUUACUUUUGGAUAUGGUUAUAGAAGAUGGCAGAUAGAAUUUGGAUCUCUUUCAUCUCUGGUUAUUGAAGGAUAUAUUUAGAAAGAUUGUGGGGAUCCCCUCCACAUCCUUCUGCACGUCAAUAUAGAAUUAUAUGGGCUAGGUCUACUAUUGGGGCCUUUUCUGUUAAAAAUGCUUAUAGGAAACUUCGUGAGAUGACGUGGAAUCCAAAAAAUGGAUUAUGGCAGAUUCCGUGGAAAUUUCAUGGUCUAUAAAGAGUUAGAUUCUUCAUUUGGAUGAUGAUUAAAGAACGUCUUCUAACUAAUAUCGAGCGUGUAAGGAGGGGGAGAAGGAGCAACAGUUUAUGUGGAUUUUAUGACCAUGACUCUGAGGAUGGCUUACAUGUUAUCAGAGAUUGUAGAGCAACUAAAGAUAUUUGGUUACAUGUGAUUCUUGAAGAUAAGUGCAAAUGGUUUUUCUUUGGGGACUUGAAAGCAUAGCUAGUGGCUAACUUGCAGAAUCAGCCACAAAUUUUGUUUGGGGAGGUGGAAUGGUCAUGCCUUUUUGGGUUAAUCGCUUGGCGUAUUUGGAAAAUUGAAAUUUACAUAUGUUUCAAAGAGUAUCGUGGAGUGUUGAUGAAGUGAUUAAAGAAUCAUAUAGUUGGGCUAAACAAUAUGCUUCUACAUGCAAGGUGUAUGUGUCCAAAAGGAAUACAACAAAUUCCUGUCUGAUAUUGACAGGUAAUUGGAUUAAGUUAAACACGAAUGGUGCCGUCUGGGUGGAUUCUAGUUUUACUACUGCAGGAGGGGUUAUGCAUGACAUGAAAGGGAAUUGGAUCUUAGGAUUCAAUAGGUGUUUGGAAGUAUGUAUGUUCAAUGCUGGAGGCUGAGUUAUGGGGUAUUUUUAAGGGUUGCGAUUUGACAGAGUGUUGAUUAAUAUAGAUAGCUUGGAAGCAGUUUAGGUUAUUCAAGACAACAACUUAAGGAACUCAAGUUCAACUUUGGCGAGGCGUAUACAUCAACUAUUGGGAAGGACAACUCAAUGGCAUAUCCAACAUGUAUCUAGAGAAGAUAAUAAAGAUGCGGAUUUUCUUGCAAAAUGAAUCGUAGUAAUGAAGACGUUUUACUUCUGUUUGAACAACCUCUUUUAGGUGUUUUAGCUUAAGUCCUUGUGAACACUUUGAUUUGUUUUAUAUUCACCAAAAAAAAAUAAUGGUUUUUUUAUGGUUUCAAAGUAAGAAAAAAUUUAAUGUCAUUUUAUGGUUUCAUUAUGAAAAAAAGUUCUGUAUAGAAAAAAAUUUCUUCCCUCUGUCUAUUAUCACCUUUCUUAAAGUGUAUUAAUUAACUUUUAAUCCCCAUGUACAACUUUUUUUCUCUUAAAAAAGUUAAUUAAUAACCUUAAAAAACUUUGUUUAAGAUUUUUAAACUUAAUAAAAAAUUGUAAUACAUUAUUUAGAAAAUUUCAAAUCAUAUCAUUUAAAAAUAAUAAUGCAGUUAUAUUAUAUAUGUUUAAAAGACAUUAUCAAAUUAUAAUCAUAUAUCCCGUUUAUGCUUGUGAAAUAAAAUAUUUGAGCCAUUUUAAAGGAUUUAUGCAGGGUUAAAAUAGUAAAAUUUUGUAUUUUAAGAGUUAUUAAAUCAUAAAAGGAUAUUAAUUAACUUUUUUAAGAGAGAAAAAGUUGCACAUGAUUAAAAGUUAAUUAAUGCACUCUAAGAAAGGUGAUAAUGAAGAGGGGGAAAUUUUCUUUCCAUCUACAACUUUUUUACUAUUGAAACCAUAGAAUUGCAUUAAAUUUUUUCUUGCCUUGAAAUCAUAAAAAAUUAUUAAUGUAAUUUCAUAUACAACUUUUUUUUUUCCGUUGAAACCAUAGAUGUCAAAUUUAAAUUUGUCUUGCCUUCUUCUCUUCCACUUUUUUUUUUUACAGCUCUCCAUUUUUUUUUCAUCUUCUUCUUUUGUUUCCUUUGCCUACUAAGUACUAUUAGGAGUGUUCAGUCGGUUAACUGACCCGAAAUUGUAAUAACCGAAUUAACCGACCUCCCAAAUUUUUUAAUCGUUAACCGAACCGAAUUUUUUUAAAAAUAAUUAAUCGAACCGAAAUUUUUUUCGGUUAAUAAGGUCGGUUAACCAAUUUAACCGAAAAAUAUGUGUUGGUCAUUUUUGGUUAAAAAUUACCCGAAUUACCUGAAUUACCCGAAAAUUAUCCAAAUUACCCGAAUUACCCGAAAAUUACCCAAAUUACCCGAAUUACCCGAAGAUUACCUAAAUUACCCGAAUUACCCGAAUUAAAUCACUACAUAAUUAAAAACAUUACAUAAAUAUUUGAAUCACUACAUAAUUAAAAAUAUUACAUAAGUCUUUGAAUCACUACAUAAUUAAAAACAUUACAUAAGUCUUGAAUUAACACAUAAUUGAAAUGUAAGUUUUUAAUAUUCUCGAUUUAUAUCCAUUUCAUCUCUCCAAAAUAUAUUCAUUUCAUCUCUCCAAAAUAUCUCCAUUUGCAUUAAACCUAAAAAAAAAAAACAUGAGCAAAAAUUUAGCAUAUAAUAGAAAUAUACGCAUUUAAAAAAACUUAAAUAAUAUAAACAAACGAAUAGAUUAUAAAUUAACAAGAAUAAGAUAGUAGUAAGCAUACCCUUCAACUCACGAAAGCUCAUGAAUCUAGGGUAGGCUCUAAUGCAUUCCAAGAAAUGUCUAAACAUUGAAUCAAUUAAAUAAAUAAGGGUGAUAUGGUAAAAAAAUUGAAACUAUUAAAAUAAAACAAUAAACAUACCAUUUUCAAUCUUGUCAAGCUCUUGGAUUUGUUCUUCAAUCUUUUUUAUGUCUUCUCGUGAUGAUGAUCUUCGAAUCCAAUCUUGAGUACACACAAGAGCUUGUACAAUUUUAGGAGUUAAAGAACUCUGAUAUUGAUCAAGCACACGUCCCCCGGUGCUAAAUGCAGACUCUGAAGCAAUCGUAGAAACCGGUAUAGCUAACACAUCUCUGGCAAUUUUUGAAAGAGUGGGAAAUCUAGGGCUGUUCACUUUCCACCACAAUAAAAUAUCAAAAUCUUCAACAAAUUCUUCAUUAGCCUCAGCUAGAUAUUUAUCCAACUCAGAUGUUUUAUCCUCACCACAAAUUUCCAACUCACGCUUUUUAUACAAAGCUUGCAUUCGCCUUUUCAUUUUUUGUUGUGGUUCACCAAUAGAAACAUGUGUUGACACACUCGAUUGGCUACAAGUACUAUGAAGUGGAGGCUUAUACUCAUCAAACAAUUCAUACAAAGAUUCCUUCAACUUUUGCAUCAUUUCACAAGCUUUUUCAAAACUAGACAUUUCACUAAGUGCAAAUUCAAGAUACUUUAGUUUUUGUCUAGGAUCUAAAACACAAGCAACAAACAUAAGCAAAUUCAUCUUAUCAAUACCACCCCAAUACUUAUCAUACUUCUCUUUCAUCUUGAUGGCCAUAACAUUGAAAUCAAUAUUACUAUUUAACUGAGCAUCUCGUAAAAGAAUAUCAAUUUCGGAAAGAUCAUCAAAAAAUUAUUGGACGUGACAUAUGAAGUGCCAGAUAUACGCAAAGUGACUUCAUAAAAGUGUUCCAAGAAAUCCCUCAAGUUUCUAACAUUAUCCCAAUCAUCCACACUAGGCCAACCCUCUCCCUUUUCAAGUUUAGCCCUAAAGUUUGUAUCUUGCUCCUGAAAUCUCUCAAAAGCUCUCUCAAAGUUCUGAGCAGUGUCUAACAUUAAGUAGGUCGAGUUCCACCUAGUACAAACAUCAAGACACAACAUCUUCUUGCACUCUAUCUUUUCCACCACAACACACUCCUUAAACUUUUGUAAUCUAGUUGGAGAUUGUCUCACAUAUCUAACAGCCCCCUAACACGUUCAACAGAUUUAUUCAUUUCCUUUAAGCCUGCAACAAUAAUCAAAUUCACAAUGUGUGCCAUGCAUCUCAUAUGAAGAUAUUUACCAUUUUGAACUAAACCCCCUCGAGGGUUAAAUUUCUUUCUCAAAUAACCAAUAGCAACAUCAUUUGAACUUGCAUUAUCAACAGUAAUAGUAAACAACUUAUCAAUCCCCCAAUUCAACAAGCAUUUCUUAAUCACCAUCCCAAUCGACUCACCCUUAUGACUAGAAAUUGGACAAAAGUUUAAAAUCUUUUUAUUCAAUUUCCAAUCAUUAUCAAUAAAGUGAGCAGUGAUACACAAAUAAUUAACUCUUUGCAAAGAUGUCCAUGUGUCAGUAGUUAAGCAAACUCUAGAACAAGAACUUCUCAAAAUUUGUUUUGGCUUGACCCUUUCAUCUAGAUACAAUUGAUAAACAUCCCUAGUCAUAGUAGUUCGUGAAGGAAUAUGAAACCUAGGACACGCCACAAACAUAAAUUUCUUAAAACCUUCACUUUCAAUAAACUUGAAAGGUAAUUCAUCAAUCAGAAUCAUUUGUGCUAAUCCUUUCCUACAUGCUUCUUGAUCAAAUCUCCAAGUUGAAAGAUUCCCUUCCCCCGCCCCCUUCAACUCCCUUGCUAGGUAAAACUAGUUGUCCUUGACUAGUGUCAACUACAUUACUAGGAUUUUUCUUACAUGAACCAAUAUGAUAUUUCAAUGACCUUGCACCUUUUUUUUCAUAUCACAACAAAAUUCCUUUUCACAAUAAUUACAUUUAGCCUUACUUGCACCCUCACUAUUAAUAAACUUAGUGAAGUGAGACCAAACUUCUGACCUUUGAGGAGGAGCUUUUCUUUUCCUGGACGUAGUCCCCUUCGUUUGGAUUGAAGCUCCAACCCUCGAAUUUUCAGAAUCUAUCGAAGUAGGAGGUGUAACACUACCCUCAAUAGAUGUUGGUUCGGUUGACAUUCUGCAAGAAAAAAAGUAUAUAAUAAAUUAAAAUAAUACGACAAACUUGGGGUCAACUGUCAAGGACAAUAUUAUUUACAAAAUCCAAAAACUUAAUAAAUUGAUGCAAUAUUAUUUAGAUCAUUUACAUUUUUUAAUUUCUCCAAUAAUUAUUCUAAAAUAUAGCAUUUUAAACCAAGUGAAAUCAUUAGAUAAACCACCAAAGAAAUAGUUUAACAGAUAAGAAUAAACCUUAUGGAAGAAGGCAUGACGAUCUUAUGGGUCCUUCAUUCAUCCAAAUUCGACCACAAUUAUUUGAUACGAAAUAAAAUAUGUUCUGAGACUUAUUUAUUUAUGGAAAAAACACUUAUGAAGUCCCAAGUUAAAAAAAACCUAAUAAAUGAAACUAACUAAAUUAUUCCAAAAUCUUGAUUGAUUAAGUGUUUAAAUAGGUGAAGAUAAUGAUUAGACAUCGAAUCUUUAAUGCUAAACAAUUUUAUUCUUAACAAAAAGAUCUGAAAUAAUUAAUUAACCAAAUAAUUAAAAAAAGAGAAAAGAAGGCCACAAAGAUUAUAAUAUGAUGAUAUAAAUAAAGAAAACAGUUGUACUGAUUAUGAUAAUAAUUCUAGUCUGAUUAUAUAUACUUUUUUAUGAAAUAAUCUGAUUAUCAUUAUUAACAAAUAAAUAAAGUCAUGACGGAUUUUAAAAAAAAAAUACAAAGAUAAAGAAAGAUGGCAAGAAAAGCAACGUUUAAGAUAAGAACAAAAGAAAUAAAUGUGUUUCCCCAAUUGAAUAUUAAAUCGUCAUAAAAUAGUAACACAAUUUCUUAGACGUAUAAAUAUAAUAUUCUACAUGUAUAAAAAAUGUAAAUUCUCCGGAUAGGAUUUGCUAUAGCCUUUGGCUUUAAUCUAUGGAAAGGAUUAAGUUUAGUAUGAAAAUUUGUUACUAUUUUUAGUGGUUUCUCCUUAUGUUUAGAUAAUUAGUUGUGGUGUAUUACUUGAAAUAACUUUUGGAGAAUAAUCAUGAAAAGAGGGUAAGCUUCCAAUUCCUUCCAAACAAAAACUUUAUUCCAUUUAAUACACUACAUAGUUACAACCUUGUGCCAAAUGUUAAAUGUAUUUCAUUUGAACUUAAUCAGCAUCAUGUAUCAAACAGACAAACACUCAGUAUUUUUUAAAAAUUAUAAAUUCCAACACUCAAUAUUUAAUAAGUAUCCAUGCAUCAUGCACGUUUAACCAAUCACUAAUUAUUAUAAUUAAGUAAUUAAUUCCUUUUAGAACCUAAUAAUGAUGCAGAAUACACUUAAAAGGGAUCUAUAUUGUAAUUCUCACAUCCCCCAUGAUAGUUUAAGUGCGCUUUCAGCCUAACCCAUUAUUUUUCAUCAAUAAAAAUAACUGAAAAUGUCAGGCUCUUCAACCCUUAGCCUAUCAACCUCCUCCGUCAAACCUGGAUAAAUUUUCCCUAUAAAUAACAGUUUUGCGUGGCCCUAAGGUUUAAACAAAUAAGCUACAUUACAUACAAUCUUUGCAAUGUCUUAUUCAAGAGUUGCCUAUUAGCCCUUACUUUCAUUGUCCAAACAGCUUUUGGAGCUGACCCUCUUUUCCAUUUUUUUCCAUUAGAAAAAAAAAACGAAUACUAUCUAUAUCAGUCAACUACAGAGUACAAACCCAUUCAAGAAAUUGGAAAAAAAAAAGAAAGGGAAAGUAGAAGAAAGCAAACCUAGCUAUUGGUGUGGUGGUCCGACACUCUGACUCGGCGACUCUGGCGGAAGAGAAAUAGUGUGUGAGUGAAAGUUUAAGUGUGUGAUUUAGGGUGGGAUUCGACUGAGAUUGAGAAUAUUAGGGUGGGAUUUAGGGCUAGAGGGGUUGGGUGUUAACUGUUAAGUGUGUGAGUGAAAAGUGAAAACUGAAAGUGAAAGGGAGGGGGUAGAGACGUAGUAGUCGGGCUGCUGCAGUGCUGCUGAGAAAUGGGCAUUGGACAGUAGGUUUAAAUUUGGGCUGGGUUUAAAUUUAAUUGGUGUAGGCCCAACCCUGUUAAUUUUGGUUUACCCGAAUUUUAUUGGUUAACCGGUCCGUUUCGAACCGAUUUAACCGUUAACCGAACAAACCAAAAAAAUUUAACUGACCCUCGACCGAAGUUUUUCGGUUCACCGACCGAUUAACUGAACUCGGUCGGUUAACCAAAAAAUUUCAAUUUUAACCGACUAAUGCACAGCCCUAAGUACUAUAGUCAGUAAAUUGAACUCAAAAUCUUUUUUUUUCUUCUCAAAUAUUCAGCGCUUCUUCUCUACUGAUAUUGUGUUAUUUUUUUUCAAAUCUCUCUUCUCAUGUAAUUGAAGGCUUAAGAGUCACAUUUCCAAAGCUUUAAAAAGAAUCAAACGGUCACCGAUCAUGGCAACCAGAGCAUGCCAUAAAAAAAAAACCACGCCGGCGCUAGUGGAGAGAAGGUCGGCACCAAAAAAAAUAAUUUAAUCUGACACGAGUGUUAGCACCAAAAAAUACUGAAAAGUAAAAUUUCAUUAUUUCCCGAUGCCGACUACCUAGAUGCUGACACCUAAUAAAAAAUAUUUUUUGAACCAGAAAAUACCCAUAUUUUUCAAAAAAGUACACAAAAAUACAUACGCGUGUUAGCCAUUGCAGUGUCAGCACCAAAAAAAUUAUUUUUUAAAACCCUGACCCAAUCAACAAGCAAUCAUUAUACGCUGAUUGACAUUGGUGACGACCAUCGGAGUGCCGACACUGCCCGACACUGUAGAUUUCAGGUAAUUUUCGUUAUAGUUUUUCAACCUGGGUCAAUGUCAUAAAUUUUUUUUUGGUUAGUUGGGUAAAAAAGCUUAUAAAAUCACUACAAAUAUAAUAUUUUAAAUGGUAAAAGUAUGAUAAAGGCUCUUAUUUUAAGAGUAGAUUACAUUUUUCUCUUUUUACUUAAAAAAUAAGUAAAUUAGUCUUUUUUAUAUUAAAGGUACACGUGACAUUCUAUAUGUAAUUGUCUGAUUAUUCUAUCAAUCAAGUCAAUUUUUAUCAAUAGAAAUAGAAACUUUUUAAUAGAAAGAACUAAUUUACUUUUUAAUCCAAUGUACAAGAAUUAAUUUAUUAAUUUAAUUUUGCUCUUAAUACACAGAUUUUUUAUUUUAUUUUAAGCAUGAUCCAAUAAAUUAACUAAACUAAAAUCUGGUGUUUUUUUUCAAAAUUGAUCCAAAAAAUAGAUUAUUUAUGAAAAUGACCCAGGUGAAAAAUCUUUGAUGGAAAUGACUUGGUUCUAUAGUGCAUGUUGGUGCCAGCCAUCUCACCGUCGGCACCACCCUCCAUGAUCUCUUAAUCAUUACCCGAUGAUUGCCCGGUCAAAUAAAAAAUAAUUUUUUUGUGUUGGCACUGUGUUUGUUGACACCAAUAUGUUUUUUUUCAAAUACACUUAAAAAAUACAGUAUUCUAAGAUUAAAAAAAAAGAAAAAAUAAUAAUAUUUUAAUAGGUGUCGGUGUUCACGUUGCCAACAUAGGUUCAAAUUUAAAAAACAAUGUUUUUUAGUGUUGGUACUAACGUUCUCAUUGUCAGCAUCAGUGUGGUUUUGAUUUUUUUUUGUCGGUGUGCUCUAAUUACUAGGACCGGUGACUGCUUUUUAAAAAAAAAAGCCAAAGGCAUUUUAUCAUUGACAAAAGACUACGGCGUUGUCAUAUUUGUUGCCGUUAACUGCAUGUCCUCCACCGCCAAUGUCUUCUUCCUCUAUUUGCUGCUAUCAUCACACGACACUCUCCUCCGCCUGCUUCUUGUUCUUGAAGCGACCAUCAUCGACUUAUUCAACAUUAUGACUUUUUAUUGAUUGGGCAAUCAUCAGAUAAUAAUUAAAGGAUGAUGGAGGAUGGUACCGACGAUGAGAUAACCGACACCAACAUGUACUAUAAAAAAAUAGUUCAUUUUCAUUGUCGAAACCAUUUUUAUUUUGAAAAAUGGGGUCGACUUUUAAAACGAAAAUGGAGUCGCCACCAAUCUUUUUUCGAGGUGUGAUCUGAGAUUAAUUAUUUUAAUAAAACAUUUUGAUUUAUUAAAAUAAUGAUUUUGGUCUACAAAAUUCGAGAAAACGGGCUCGGAAGUUGGUUAUGCACGAGGAAGGAUUAGCACCCUCGUAACGCCCAAAAAUUGGUACCUAAUUGAUUAAUUAAUGUCUCAAAGUCGAAUGUCGAAAAUUUGAAAAGUUUAGAAACGAUUCCCCUUUUUAUUAAUGCCAUAUUUUAAAACAAUGCUUGGAUAGAUUUGAACGAAUGUAAAAUGAUUUCUCAUCCCGAGGCAACAAGAUGUCGUAUCCCCUAAGUUAGGAUGCAACGUUUGAAUUCCCGAGCAUAAGUUAACCUUUUAAAAAUAUUUAUUGAAACCUUGUGCAUUUGAAAACUAAAAUGUUUAGUCAUUUUAGUUCAAUGAGAAAAUCGAAACCCCGUAAGUUAGAGCACGAUUUCUCAUCGUUCCAAAGACGACAUAUUGCAAACUUCAUUUUCCCUUUUUUACGAAAUUGGAUCAAAGCGAAGGUUUAAUGCAAUAUUAACAAUGAUAUAAAUUUGAUUUAUUCGAAAUGAAAAGAAAUGAAAUAAUCAAAUUUUGGCAAAUAAAUCGAAAAUUUUAACUAUGAUGUAAUGUUCUCAUUUAAUAAAUUGUUUAAAACAACUAAUAAAACACAAUAUAUAAAAAUAUUGAAGCAAAUGAAGUAUGAAGAAAAAUUAGAAUAUCCAUUAUAUAGAAAAAAAAAGUAAUAUUUAUAAUUCAAAAUAAAUAGUAUGUAUAUGGAUGAAGUUUAAAACAAUACAUGAAUUAAAACAAAUAAUAUAUAUGAAUGUACAAUUUAAUACCAAUAAUAUCUACAAUUUGAAAUGAAUUGGAUAAUUUACAAUAAAUAAUAUAUAAUAAAUUUGAAAUAAUAAUACAUAUAAAAUUUAAAAAUUUUAUGAUAAUUCUAGAAUAAUCAUACGUGAUAAAUCCAAAAUAAUAGUAUAUAAUAAAUUUAAAAAUAUUAAUGAUAAAUUUGAAAUAGAUAUACAUGAUAAAUUUAAAAUAAUGUUAACAAUGAAUUUAAAAUAAUAAUAUUGAUAAAUUACAAAUAAUAAAACAUGAUAAAUCUAAAAUAAUAAUAUACAGUACACUUAGAUAAUAUUAAUGAUUAAUUUAAUAAUAAUAAGCAUAAACAUUCAAAUAAUAUCAGAUUUAAUUUUUUUAAAAAAAUAGCAUAAUAAUCGAUACUUAAAUAAAUAAAACACAAGCAAAUUAAAUCAAACUAAUGAGGAUUAAAUUGAAUUUAAAGCAAAAUUAAAAGGAAUAAAUGAGAAUAAAACAAAACUGAGGGCCAAAAUAUGGAAAAAAAUAGAUAGUAUAAAAAAAUAAAUUGCAAUUGAUAAUAUAUGGAAAAAAAAUUAAAGCAAAUAAUCAAACAAUUUAAAAUGGACGAUUUAUAACAUGAGUUUUAAAAAAAUAACAUGUGUGACAUAAUAUUAAAAACAAAUAGAGUAUAUAAUUAAUGGAAAAAAAAUAAAAGAAUGAUAAGAAUGGUUAAAUGAAUGAACAAUAUAUAAAUAAGAAAGUUGAUGGAUAAAUAAACAAAUAAAAAUAAAAGAAUAAUUAAUGAUUAAACAAUUAAAUGGAUAAAUAAAAAGGUUAAAAAACGCUUAAGUCAGUUUAACUCUUACAAUAUGAAGAUUCAAAGAAAUUCCUCCAUCAAAAUCCAACUCAAAUGAAAGCAACUUAAAAAGAAACAAAGAUGAACGAAGAACAAGAUAAGAACAAGCCACAGAAAAUAAGAACGCAAGAGAGGGAGAAAUUUGAGUGAAUGCUUUUAAGAAUUAUUAUUGCUCCAAACUUCAGUGUUUUACAAUGAAGGGAGAGGCCUCUAUUUAUAGUUGAGCCUCCCCAAAUCUAACGAUAUAGAUCAAUUACAUCAACGGCUAAGAUUAAAGGGUAUCUACAAAUUAAAUCUCUAAGAUUACAAAAUCUUAUCUUCUAAGAGUGCAUAUCAUAUCUUAGAUUGCAUAUUCUGGACCUUCAACCCACUACACCAAAACAAGUCUUUAGCGGCGUUUUUUUAGGCCUUUAGCGGCAAACAUCGCUAACGUUUGCAGCGUUUACAAAAAAAACCGCCGCUAAAGAUCAUAUUCUUUAGCGGCGUUUUUUUUAAGCGCCGCUAAAGAACCUGCUCUUUAACGGCGCUUUGUAAAAAACGCCGCUAGAGAUCAUAAUUUUUAGCGGCGCUUUUUUUACAAACGCCGCGAAAAGAAAUGUUCUUUAGCGGCGCUUUUAUACAAAAACGCCACUAUUUUUGGGAUUUUUUUAUAUUAAAAUUUUCAUUUUUUUAGCCCUCCUGUAGCAACAAAUCAAAAGCAACCAGAUCUAAACCAGCCAAAAACAAUAAUUUUAUAUAAUAUUUCAAAUUAAAUGAAUAAAAUAAUAUUAAUAUCAAUAAAUAAAAGUAAAUUCAUAUUAUUUUUGCAAAAAUGUUAAAAGUUAAAAUGAUAGAAAUAUUUAUGCAAUACACUAUGACGGCAGAAGUUGCGACUGAAACAUCUUCAUCAUACUCUAAAGCUGCUGCUGGAGUUCGUCGUACUUUUUGCUUUGCUCUGCUUCUCUCGCUGCAGCCUCUGCUUUAAGUUGUAGCUGGAGUUCUUCAUAUUUUCUUUGAACCUCUGCUUCCCUCGCUGUCGCCUCUGCUUUAAGUUGUAGCUGGAGUUCUUCAUAUUUCCUUUGAACCUCAACUAUGGUCGCUUGCAUCUGAGUCAUCUGAUCUUUUAACCUCUGAACUUCAGCUUGAGCCUGACUCCUCGAAGCCAUGUAUUGCUGCGAGCUGGAUCCAAAAUAUUAGGUUGGGCUAACAAAAGAUCCUUGAAAUCGAACCCGACCAUACCUUUCAGGACCUAAAACUUCAGUAAUAAUCCGGUUAUCAAUGUCUUCAGGAUGAACAGAACUAUCACUAGAAGCAAUCGCUUCGUACUCCGCCUUUUUAUCCUUUAGUUUUUCCUAAUAAAUAAAUCACAUAGUUAGGAACGCAAUAUAUAUUAAAAAACAUAUGCAACAUAACAAUAGUCGCAUUACAAGCAAUGAAUUAAACCAUUAGAAAAUAAACACUAUAAAUAACUAAAAGAAGUCAAAUCGUAUUAAGUAAACGUACCAUUAUUUCACCAGCUUCAGGAGUCAUGGGAGAUCCAUCUUUCUUCCUAUGUGUAAUUUCAAAAAGUUGAAGGCAUCAAACUUUUUGACCGGACGACAGUUCCUACAAUAUAGUAGUAAAAAUAUUAUUUAAUGGAAAGUUAUACAUAUUUGACAAUAUUAAAAAAUUAAAAAUACCUCCGCCUCAGCUACACAUGCAAAACUUCUCGACCUGGCUGUGUGAGUGAAUUUUUGUUUCUGCCUACUGCUUUUUCCAACUCGUUCACGAUCCUACGUUAUGAAAUUUUUAGUACGUAAAUAGUAAAUACUAUAAACCAAAAUAAUUACAAUAGUUUGGAAGUACGUCAUACCUUGCCUUUCUUCGAAUGCCAAAAUCUAACCGCAUCUUCCCAUUGGUACCUCAACAUACCCGGCAGGACAUUUUGCAAUUUCUCAUCGAGGGUUAUUUUUGUCUUAUAAUAAUUUUUCUUCAAAGUACUUUUAUGGUCUCUCCAUCUUUUUCCCAAUGCCUUCUUUACAUAAGCAUCCGAGACCUCCAAAGCAAACCUCGCCUACAAAAAACACAAGUUAAUAAAGUAAAUAUAAAUGAAACUAUUUCCCAAGCAUUACAGAUGACAUUAACAUUUUGUUACCUUAAUAUUAUCGAGGGCUUGGUUUUUGUUGCUAUCGGGCAUUUGAUGCCAUGACUUAUAGUUGAUAGGCAACAUAUUCGCAUUUUGUGCUAAAAUGCCCAUGUAUCCUGCUAAAAGUUGAGCUUCUGGUCCAACAGGCUGACCAAAACUAUUUCGUCCAACCUUGACACGCUCGACUGGAUCUAACUCGUAUAACUCUCUAAGCAGCGUACGUCCUCGACCUCUGCACGUCCCACCAUUUUCAGCUACAAAUGGUAUAUUAUAAUAUAAGAAUUUGAAAAAUAAAUCAAUUAUAAGUCAACACGCAUGUAAAUUAAAUGUAAAAUUACUUUGAACUUCUGUAGGAUCCUCAGAUGUAAUCGGAACAUUCGAAGAUCCAAUUGCUGUCUGUUGUUCAAUACUAUUUGUUUCUGUCGAGUUUGGAUUAUUUUGAACCAUGCUUCCCCUUAGAAUUUUUCUUCUAGGCAUUUUAUCUGCAAUACACAUAAAAUAGUUGAAAACUUAAUAACUAAUUACAACAAUAACAACACAUAUAAAAUAAUUGAAAUAUAUAAUAAGACCAAGAUUUAAAUUAUUAUAUUACAUAUAAUUAAACAAUCGUAAAAUCUUACUCCAUCAUUAUUCGUAAAUAUCUUCAUCCGUAUCUUGACGAACCCAUUGAAAUUGUGCACUAGUACUAGGGAUAUUAUCGUUUAAGUUUUGUUUUGGAAAGGGCAAAGUUUCUGAUCUGUCGUCGAUGUUAUCUCUACUUCCACUGCCCAUGUCAAACAAGUCUCUAGGGAUGUUACGAAGUAUAACGUACUAACCCUCAUCAGUUGGAUAUUUUGAGUAAAAAACUUGUUUGACUUGAGAUGAGAAUACAUACGGCUCAUCUAUCACUUGUUGUCCUAUAUAAAUCAAUCGGGCGAAGUUCACCACUGUAAAACCAAAUUGAUCUUGCUUAAUUCCACGAGCAGUAUUAACAUCAGCCCAAUCACCUCGCAAUAAGACAACUUUCCAUUUGCCGUAGUUAUCCAACUCAAUUAUGUCAGUAAGAAGUCCGAAAUAUUCCACAUUUCCCUCAACAAGAUUAUUGUCCCUAGCACUAGCAUAACUUGUAAUUGAGGAAUUAACAACUAUUCCACAAUCUUGCUUUCUCCUCAACCUCUUGCGAUAUUUUGUAUGAAAUCUGAAUCCGUUGAUGAGGAACGCACUAUAUCUUUUAACCACUCGAUCUGGACCUUGGGAGAGCCAUUUAACUUCGUCGUUUACGUUCUUCCCACUCCGAACCUAUUGAAUGGAAAGUAAACCGAGUAAUUAAAAAUUAUUCAAUGUAGACAAUAUUUCAUAGCACACACCUCAAAAAUUUUCACAAACAAAAAGAAAAACAAUUAAAAAAAAGAAAAAGAAAACCCUGAACUACUAGAAUUAAAGAAACCUAUAGCAGGCAGAAAAAUGUAAAGCAACCUUCUUUGUAGCAGGCAUGGCCUCAAGUAUUAUAACCACAAAGAAUAUCUGACAACAAUUGCCUACACCAAACCAACAUGGACUUGUAAAACAAUUCCCACAAGAAGUUGGGUUAAUUUUAUAUGAAAUAGUUUCCCCGCAAAAAUCUAGCUUUUUGGACUUGUAAAACAACAAAUCCAAGUGAAAUGACUUUAGUUUAAAAUUUAAAUUACGGCACUCUCCGCCAUUCAGCCAAUAGUGCUUUUUAAAGAUAUACAAGUAAAGAAAAACAAACUGAAUGAACAAGAUAGGGAAUGACAAGGCCCAUGAGGAAAAUAAUGAAAAAAAUAAAAAUUCAGAUAAUAGUUGAAACAGAACUAACGGUUCUAGGAGAAACUUGGACAAGCCCAGAUACAGAUUUAUACACUUAAGGUAGCCAAAAUUUUCAAUGGCAGCAAAAAUGAAAAAAAAAUGUAUAUAUAUACAGAAAAAGGAACUGAAAUCUUGUAGAAAGAGAAGAGGUGGCUCACUUCUCGGACGUGGAUAAGCAGACGGAGAAACAACGAAAAUGAAGCACAGAUUCAAAAGAGAUGAUUUAAGAGAAAAAGUUUUAUAUUUAUUUAUUCAUUUGCCUUACUAAUAAUAUCAAAUUCCAAGCAGGAAAGAAAGGUUGAAUUCCAAGCAUUGAUUUUAAAUGUCAAAGGAACGAUGACACCUUCGCCGAAGAUCUCCGGUGUGUCAACAUCGUCGACUUCCAUGGCUGAACCUUGGUCGUCUGGGUCCGUCACGAAUUCCAUCGGCUUCUAAGCUUCUAGGGAUUUCUUUCCCCCUUUUUCUUUAGGCUUCUAGGGAUUUCUUUCGUUGUUUUAAUUUUAAUUAUUUCUGUUGAAAUAUCUUUCCCCUCUUUUCCUUACAAUAAAUUAUGGAUUUUGUGGCGUUUUUAGAAAAAACGAAGCUAAAAAAAUUAAAUUUUUGUAGUGAAACGGCACGUUUUGGAAAAAUUUAAUAAAUAUUUGCGGCGUUUUUUGUCCAAACGCCGCUAUUGCUUACCUUUUGCGGCGUUUUUCUCAUAAAUGCCGCUAAUGGUUGAUUUUUUUUAUAAUUUUGUAUUUAAUUAUUAUAUAAUUCAUAAUCCAUAAUUCCUAAUUAUUUAAAUUAUUUAAAAAAAAAGAAAAUCAAGAAUUGUAGAUUUAAUGUUGAUAUUAUAAAUUACUGGUAAAUUCAAAUAAAAAUCUAUCUUAUCUAAACAUUUUAAAUAUAUAUAUAUUUUCAAAUUGUUAAAUUUCAGUCCUAUAUAAAUGAAUCACCAUCCUGUUUCAACAUUCGGCUUUCGAAAUUUCAAUGGAAUUUACAGAAAAUAUUUUGUUAUUUUAUUUAAUAAUUAGGUGUUUUGUGAGAUAAUAAGUAAGAAAUUUAAUUGACAUAUUAUCUUAAUAUGUUAUAAAAAUACUGUUAUUAUCUUAAUUAUAUUACUUACAUUCUAAUGAUUUAUCGGACCUAUUCCAUACACGUGUCAAAUCAGAAAAAUAAUACAACAAUUCUGUAAAAAAAAAUUCGGUGUUUACUUCAAAUAAAUAAGGAAAAUAAUAAUUUGAAUGUUUCAAAAUUCAAUUUUAAACCGAAAAAUCAAAAUUUAGAGGCAAAAAAGGAUCUUUUUCGACGAAAACUGCGGCAAACUGCCUUCGGCAAUUUGUCAGGGCGUAGAUCUCGAAAAGUUAUUCGAGAUAAAAAAAAUGGCCUCAAUUGGACAACCGAGCCAAAAGUUAUGGCCUUUCAAAAUUUUCCAAGCUAAAAAACAUAAACUGUUCAUGAAUUAUUACUUCAAAACUCACCGUUUCGUUUCCAUUGAUUUCAUCGUGCACCAUUUCAAUUGAUUUCACAAAUCCCGCCUCUAAUCCUCCCAAAAUUUGACAUCCCUCCAACUCUACACAACGAUUCAAAAUGCUUUCUUUUUCAGGCAAAAUACCAAAAAAGCCCUAUAUUUUUAAAAUUUAUCGAAAUGGGCCCGGUAUUUUAUUAUUUACCGAAAUGGGCCAUUUUUCCCGAAAUCGCGUCCACGUCAGCGCGAUACCAGGGGACGUGUUGAAACUCUAAACCCCAAAUCCCUAACCUAAUUAUUGAAACCUUAAACCCCAAAUCCCUAAACCCUAACCCCUAAAUCCCAUAACCCAUAAAUCUCUCUAACCUCUAAAGCAUAACACUGAACCCCUAAACCUUAAUUCACAAACCCAAAAUCCAUACCUCGGCCUACUCCUUAAACUCUAAACCAUAUAAUAUAGUGAUAAUUAAUUCAAUAUUUUUAAAUUAAUACUAUCUCUUUUACGAUUAUAUAAGAAAUUAUUUAAUAUAUAAGCUAAAAAAAUCAGUAAUGUAUCCAAAAAGCUUUAAAAUUAUUUUAAAUAAUAGUAUUUUAAUUUUUCCAUUUUUAACAAAUAUUUUAAAUUAUUUUAAAUCCCUGAGCAUUAGCGGCGCUUUUGUAAAAACGCUGCUAAAUCCCCGAAAGCUCAGAAAACGGCAUCGUUGGGUUUAGGUUUUUUUGCGGCGCUUUCCCAAAAACGCCGCUAAAGCCCUGAGCAUUAGCGGCGCUUUCUUAAAAACGCCGCUAAAUCCUCAAAAGCUUAGAAAACGGCGUCGUUGGGUUUAGCUUUCCCAAAAACGCCGCUAAAGCCCUAAGCAUUAGCUGCCCUUUCUUAAAAAUGCCGCUAAAUCCCCGAAAGCUCAGAAAACGACGCCGUUGGGCUUAGUUUUUUUUACGGCUUUUUCCCAAAAACACCGCUAAAGCCCUGAGCAUUAGCGGCGCUUUCUUAAAAACGCCGCUAAAUCCACGAAAGCUCAGAAAACGACGCCGUUGGGCUUAGUUUUUUUUGCGGCGCUUUCCCAGAAACGCCGCUAAUGCCCUGAGCAUUAGCGGCGCUUUCUUAAAAACGCCGCUAAAUCCACGAAAGCUCAGAAAACGGCGUUGUUGGGCUUAGUUUUUUUUUGCGGCGCUUUCCCAAAAAUGCCGCUAAUCCCCGAAAGCUCAGAAAACGGUGUCGUUGGGCUUAGGUUUAUUUGUGGCUUUUGAGCAAAAACGCAAGUAAAGUCCUGGGUAUUAGCGGCGCUUCUCGAAAAACACUGCUAAAUCCUCGAAAGCUCAGAAAACGACGUCGUUGGACUUAGAUUUUUUUGUGGGGCUUUAGCAAAAAUGCCGCUAAAGUCCUGGGUAUUAGCGGCGCCUCCCGAAAAACGCCGCUAAAUCCCCGAAAGCUCAGAAAACGGCGUCGUUAGGCUUUGGUUUUUUGUGGCGCUUCGGCAAAAACGCUGCUAAAUCCGCUAAAGCUCAAAAAAUGGCGUCGUUGGUCUUAGGGUUUUUUGUGGCGCUUUGUCAAAAACGCCGCUAAUGCCCCGAAAGCUCAGAAAACGACGUCGUUGGGAUUAAGUAUUUUGUGGCGCUUUCGCAAAAUCGCCGCUAAUGCUUAUUUCAUCGGCGUUUUCCAUGGAACGCUGCUAAUGGUCGAUCUUUAGCGGCGUUUUUUAUCCAACCGCCGCUAAAAACGCCGCUAAAAGUCUGUUUUGGUGUAGUGACCUUUUCAAGUAAUGAGUCAUUCCGAUCGGACCAAAUGAUAUAAUUUUGGACUGGAGUUAGACUUUAUUUUAUUAUUUUAAGUUUUUUUGUAAACUCGGGCUAAAUUGACCUAUUACAUUCAUAAAUAAAAUUUAUAUUUAAAUCAUUUUUGUAAAUAAUCAAAUUUAAAACCCACAUUUUACAGUGUUGUGCUUCUGGAUUCAUCGUAGGCCUAAGAGUUGGCAAGAUCAUGAGUGACAUAGUGGGUAGUUGUUGUGUAAUGUCAAUCUACAGAAGACACGUAAUUAGAAAGUGACAAAAUUAUUGUCCUUCAGUUGUAGGACAUCCCAUGCAUUUACACUUUGAAAAAUAAUGCAAAGAGCUGACGCGUAAGGACAGCAAUUAAUGGUACGGUAUUCAUCUGUCUCAUAAUUAAUUAAUAUGGCCACAACCACAAGGCUUGUGCCAAAUCACCCCCUACUUCAUUUGACCCCAAUCUGAACUGAAAACCAUGCCUCCAACUUCUUUGCUCCUUAGCUGGGACUGAAUUAUGUUAUUUUACAUUUCCUAUUUGCUUUAAUAUUAUAGAUGUAUAUUUAUUUUAUUUACCCUAUACAAAUUUACAUUAUCCUCUAUCAUUUUAUUAAAUAUAUAUAUAAUAACACCCUUAAACAAUUAAAUUAGGAUUCAACUUUUUAUGGGUUACUUAUUUAAUGAUUUAACCUUUCAAAAUGGUCACAUGAGCGUUACUUUUAUAUACGUAUUUAAAUAAGAGUUUUUCAUACGCUUCAAUUAAGUUCAUAUUAAAAAUUAGUUAAAUGAUAAUAUGUUUAGAAUAAAAUAAAUAACAACUAAAUAAAAUAUUAUUUAAAAAGAAAAGAAAAGAAUAAUAACAUAAUUUGAAACCCAAUAUACGAUAUCUAAGAAGCCAUUAUUUUUGUAGUUUUGAAAUGGUUUGGCUAUUAUUUAAGCACUUUCGAAAAGGUUCGGCCAUUGUUUGAACAUUUUGAAAAGUUUAGCCUUCUUUUGAGCACUUUUGUAAAGAUUAGGCCUUAUAUGACAAUUUUGAAAGAUUUGAUCCUUAUACGAGCUACCCUAAAAGGUUAGACCUCAAAUUGAGCAUUUUUAGCUUUUGAUUUAUUAUUAUUAUUGUUAUAACAUUAAUGUUAUAUAAAAUGUUGAAUAAUACAAUGAGUGUGAUUCACACUAUAAGGGGGUGUGAAGAGCCUCUAGAAUGGGGCAAUUUACACCAUAGAUGAUGCGAUUGGAUUUUAAGUUGUAACACCUUGAAUAAUUUAAGUCUGUUUUUGUGAAAUUUAGGGUCUGUCUGAUUGCCAGUAAAAUGUUUUCCGUAAAAUAAUUUUUGGAAAAUGUUUUACUUUUCUAUAAAAUGAUUUACUGGAAAAUAUUUUUUGGUGUUUGAUUGAAUCCGUGUAAAAUAUUUUCUGCUGUUUGGCAGAUUUCCUGAAAAUAUUUUUCGAAAAAGUUAUUUUUACAUAUAUUAAUAUAUAUUAAUAAAUUUUUAUAUUUUAUUGCAAUGAUUUAUUUAUAAUAAUACUCAAUUAUUAAGCUACAAUAUUAAUCGUUAAAUUAAAAAAAACUAAAUUAAAUAUAUAAUAAUACUCAAUUAUUAAAAUAUAAAAGCAUUGCAAACUACUUCCGAAAUUUACUAAUUAGUAGUGAAUCAAUUGUAGUGAUCUCCUGAUGAAAUUACGCUCAGCAUAAAAGCAAUUUUUUUGUUGUCUUACAAACAACACAGAUAGCAUCAUUAUCAAAUUUCAGCCACUCUCAAGUAUAACCAAUUCCUUAGCCAACCAAUCUACAUUGUAACACAAAGCUAACUCCUAUAAAAAUUAUCCCAAUGCACACAUUUACAGAAAUAAAUAUGUAUAUAUGUAUGCAUUCAACAAAUACAUAACCAUAUGCAUGCAAUCAGCUAUGUUCUUUGAAAGCUACUACUAGAUCAAGCAUUGCCCCAAUACCAUAGGUUGCCAUCCAAUAGAGAGGAAAAAAUACAAGCAAAGAACCCAACUUUUUACUUAGACAUAUGGCGAAACGUGCUCAUGCAACUGGUAAGAAAAAAUCACUCAUGGCCCAAAAAAGAAUUUCAUAAAACUGAUAGUAAAAUCAAAAUGAAUGAUACAUACAAUCAAAAUUUUCAACUGACACCUAUUGAUUUAAUACAACCAGGUAAAGAGGCCGACAACCAUCUGAUAUCUAUGAAGCAAAUGAACUAGCAAUAUACUAGAAAUAUCAGCAAUUGCAAUCAACAAAGGCAACAGGCUCCAUUGAAGUCCCCAAUUUAAAUCUAUUGAUUUAAUACAUGCUCUCAUUGAAGUCCCCAACUCUAGGAAUAUUGUUCUGCCAGAAGCUAGUCAGUUAAGCAAAAUCAAUAAAAAUUCAAGAAACAUAAACCCAAACCUAGAUAAACUACUGCAUUUAUCUUACGGUGCUUGCCAAUUACGUUGCCAUGAUUUCCAAUUAUAACAGAAAUGGAGUUCUGAAAAAGACCGACCCGUACCCGGGGUUCUCUUAACAACUCUUUGUCAGCAGAAAAUUUGAAAGCCUGGAAUGAUUUGAAAUGGAAAAGCACUUAUAACUGCCUUCUACAAUAUACUUGUAUUGAAAUGACAAAAAUUGAGGCACAAGGUGAUAAGAGCUAGAAAGGGGUGCAAGUGAUAAUAGACAUUAACAUGUCCUUACCUUCCAAUAAAUUUAAAAUGGCAUAUCCAUCGCAAGAAUUUUUAUGAUUUGUACCCUCGACAACAUUGGUGAAGAACAACACAACCUAUAAAAUUGUUAUAAGUAUCCUAAAUUGAGAUCUACCUUGAUCAUUAGAGACAAGAUUAGUGCUUUGUUGUAGCACAAUUUAAAAUAAUUGUUUAUGAAAGCAAGACAAUGUGCAAGUACACAAGCAUGAGAGCAACGGAGCUUUCAAUUUUAUCUAUUAAUGGUUUUCACAUGUCUUGAGAGAGAAUAUGAUUGCUAGAUAUUACAAAAGGUUAAACAAAAAAGGUAGGCUAUAUUCUGUACUAGCUCUACAAGUUCAGAGUACAAAAACCACAAGCACUUCUAAUAAAUCAAAUUCUACAGGUCUCUAAUGGUCAGAACCAUUACUCAUUUAUCUUCAGAAAACAGGAGUGGCGAGUUGCAAAAAUCUAUACCUCAUCAACUUCCAUUGAGAGAUCAUUCACACUUUGCCUAAGUAAUCCUUUCAAUCUUCCUUUCUUGAAAUCUGAAAGCUCAGCACCAAUGUUGUUUUCAAAAAGUGAAUCAACAUCUUUAGGACUACAAUCCAUAGACUCUUUAUCAUUGACCACCAUAUACUUCCCUUGAGACAACUCAGAUGCAUUGGAAUUGGACAGAGUAUUUUUAUCUUCUGACAACAGGUCAGCUAUUUGACAAGCAUAGAAGCUAAAGAAAUCAGGUCCAGCUUUACAUUGCUUACUCGAACCAUCUGAAUUUCUCGGCAUCUCUGACAUGAUAGAAGUACUACUACUCUGCAUACGACAACUACAUAGAUAUGAAUCAGUCCAGACUCCAGAUAAAUAACUGAAGCAAAAGAGGAAGAAGCACCAUUAUAUAUACUAUACAAAUUUCUCUCUAAAGCUAUAUUUAGAAACAUGAAUUUGAACAUUUGGAUUUAAUUUCAUUUGUUAUAAAAAUCUACGGAUAAAUAAAUAUUGAUGAGCUAAGAUGAUGGAUCUCUAUAUCAAUGAAUCGUUAUAAUGCAGUAAUGUUGGAUAAAUAAAUAGGCACUUGAAGAUCAAACUCAUGUUUUGAAGAGAGGGCUUUAGCUGAUUCAGGUGGAACAAUAGUUUCAAGUGUUGUUCCGCAAUUCAGCCUUAGAAGCAAUCGGCUGACUUCCUGUUAAUAAACCAUAACAAAAUUCCAAAAGAUUGUUACUUUCACCAGCAAUAAGAUCAGUAGAUUUUGACUUUUAAUAGGCAAAACAUGUUACUUGUUAAUGAGAUAAACUGUUUACAAAUUCUAGGAUCGUCUGCAAUGAUUAUUUCAGUGGCAAAAACUGACUAAAAUGACAAUAACCAAUCAAUUCAUAAUAGACAAUAUGAAAUGGGUUUCCUUUUUCAUGAUCAAAUUUGCUUUUACAAUAUAUAUAUAUAUAUAUAUAUAUAAGCAAGAAAAAUAACAGGAAAGACAAAUAAAUUACAACCCGGAAAGUGGGAAAAAAGAAAAAGAAAAGACCUGGUAGAGUUGAGGCUUGAGAUUUGCGCUCAAGAGGUGGUGAAGCGAAUUAUACCCACAAAUUGAUCCAUAUUUGAAACUUUCUUUUUCUUCUGUGCUUCCAUUUUCUUUCCCAAUUCCAUCAGUUUUUUCAUUUUCUGAUUCCCUCAAUUAUUGCUCCGAAAUCAAAACAUAGAAAAAAGGUUGAUGAACGCCGGUGUCUAGUGUUAAGAAUCGAUGUUGGUUGAUGGCAAGCAGAAGAUCAGGUGUCAAGGAUAGGAGAAAGGGAAGGGCAAGGGAAAGGGAAAGGGAAAGGGAAGAUCGAUGUCUAAAAUUUUCUUGAAAAUGUCUUAUCGAAUUAGAAACGGUAAGAUAUUUUCCAAAAUUAAAGGCUUCUUUUUCCCGUAUUUGUAAUUGAUUUUACGUGAAGAAAAUAUUUUCAGCCAAACAAACACUGGAAAAGGCUGAAAACCUUUUCCGGAAAAUGUUUUACUACAAUCAAACAGAGCCUUAACAUAAAAUGUGUAUUUGCUUCAGUGGUUAAGUGUUCUGGGUGUGUGUAUGAGGUUUUGGGUUCAAGUCUUUAUUUUGGAAUUUUUUUUUAUUUUUUUAUCCAAGCCUUAUCUCUAUUAGGUGGGCUUAUGUUUUAUCUUUAGUAAACCCAAAUCAGAAUGAGCCUGUUGGUUCGAGCAAUAACGAGUUAGCUUGCUGAAGGUCCUGUGUUCGAUUCCCUGUGUGAGCGUGGAUGAUAUUUUUGUUUUAGUUGUGAGAUAGAGGUUAGGUGAAAGUAAAAUUCUAAGGUGGUGGAGAGUUAGUCGGUUAGUUAGUGGAAUAAUGGAAAGUUGAGAUAUUAGGGGUUUCAAAUUUUAUUUUAAUUUUUUUUCUUCUCAAAGUUUUUGACGUCAGUUUUAUUUUAUUUUUCCCUCUUUUAACAUUUUUACCUUCUCGGUAAAAUCCUUUUCAUUUCUCUUUGAUUCUAUUCGUGAAUCCCUCGUUCAAAUCAUUGCUACUGUGAUUUUUGGGUUCUUUAAUCGGUUGGUAAGUAGAACUUCGUAUCUCUUUAACAAUUGGUUUGAGAUAUUGGCAAUGUUAAGUUGUAGCGAUUAAUUAGUAGAUUCUGUGUUUAGGAGAAGAUUGUGAAGCAGAAAAUUCACUCCGACAGCCUAAUCCGUGUUAGUGGUGGUUUUCAUUAACGAUAAGUUUGUGAUCGUUGUUGAAUUUUUGUCACGAAUUUGUAAAUUGGUUGCUAAUCGGGGUUAGAGAUACUAUUUACAGGUUUUUAUGGUCUCGGGAUUGAUUAUACUACAAAAAUAAACCAGGUGUGUAACCCUAACGUGAGAAAAUGAGAUUCGACGAAAGUUAAAAUUUAGGUUUGUCGACGCCACACUAGCGUGUGCCCGGUCGUGUGCAAGACAUGGUCGUGUGACUUAUAAGGGUAUGGCCCUGCGUAAGACACGACCGUGUAACAGUGUUAGUGUGGCUGUGUGGACUUCACGGGCUGGGCGAGAUUGGCCGAAUGGGCCCAUACGGGCAAGCCACAUCGACGUGUGGGCCCAUAAUUCUAAAAUUUUCCCUAGGAUCUCACUGGUCGUUUUGAUUGAAUGUGAACCUAUUAUAGGGUCGGUAAGGGCUAAUCAAACUCUAAUUCAUGUGAUCUGAUAUUCUGAUAGUCUGAUUUGAGUAGGACAUUGAUAUGUAUGUAUGACUGUUCUGUUUGAGUAUAUAUAUAUGUGUUAUCUAUAUACGAACAUGUGUUAAUUAUGUUAAUUUUGUAUUAUGUAUUGUGUUUAGGGUGGGAUUUGUAUAUAUGGAGGAAGUGAUCUGUACGGUGACCUUUCGCCUAUAUUCUGGUAGCUUGGCUGCGUAUUAUCUAUUAUGUGUCGCAUCAAAACUCUAUGGUGUCUAGGGAUGGGUGGGUGUUUUUAACCCCCACAUGGUGUGAUGGGAUGGACGGAGAUGGUGUGUAGAGGAUGGGGGUAGGAUUUUGUAUAUUCGUUCUAUUUAUCUGAUAUGAUUUCUGUAACUGUUGUGGACUUAGGUUCGAAUCUGUUUCUGACUGUAUAUGAAACUUUGUGUAUGCUGCAUGUCUGUCUCUGUUGGGUUACACACUGAGUUUAUAUAAACUCACAUUUGUUUGACUUUUUUGUUCAGGUAACCUAUAGACAUAGGCGGGUCAGUGCGACGGAGGCUCAGCGGUGACCACUCGAUAGAAAACUGUUUCCAUUUAUUAUUUCAUGGUUUUUAUUUAAAUUUCUAAUUUUCGUGAGAGUUUUGUAAUUUUUGGACUCUCCAAACUUUUUGAACUGUUUGGUUUCAAUUUUUGGUUUGGUUGGGUUAUGAUUUCUAAACUACGACAAUUCGACAAAAUAUUGAUUUUACGUGAUCAAAUGUCAUCGAGCCUGGUUUCUAUUUAAACGACUUUUCAAACUUCCGCUGCUAAAUGAUUUGGUUAACCUUAAGGGAUAACAUGUAACUGUUUCAUUAAUAAAUAUAUAAGUGAAUACGUUUUACAAAACUUGGACGUUUUAUUGAAAUAUUAUUGGUUUUAAAACCUUUCUUCGUAACACUCCUGAAUUCGGCCAUAACGUCUAGGUCGAGUUUGGGAUAUUACAUUUAGUGGUAUCAGAGCCAGGUUGUAAAACUCGGGUUAUGAAUUUUGGAUUCCAAAAUUUUGUCUUGAAAAAAGACUAGUUUUUAAAUAAUUUAGAUCAUUCCUGAGUAAGUAUGUGAUACACCAAGUCUUCGGUGUCGAUUUUAUAAGUAUCUCUAAAUUUUGAAAAUACAAUAGAUAGUACUUUAUGAAAUUGUAAUAAGUUAGUUAAAGACUAAAACCUCUGAAAUACUUCUGAACUUUUGAUAUUUUAAGCAUAAAAUAUUUGUUAAUAAAAAUUGAAACUGAGGCAUAAAAUUUUAUAAUGUAAAUAAAAUUAAAAAUACGAUGAGUACUCAUGAAACUCAUGGUCAUAGUAAUCGUGGACGUGGCGGGCGCCGUAGUAGGGCUUGAGUUGAGUUUUCCUCUCUAGGCAGUAUGCCAAAUUUAGAUACGAGUGAGGCACCGGUUUUACUUACUACAAAGACUGGGUUUGAAAGCCGUUCGUCUGGGGACGAUGCACUGUCCUAAUCUAUGUUGAGAGUGUUGGAGAGGGUUGCUAGACCCUAUUCGGGAUCUGGAGGUCGUAGGUCGAUAACAAAAUGACUUCGAUCCAAUAGAGUUGAGUUGUUUAGAGGUGUCACUAGAGUCACCUUUACUGUGGACGAGUAUUGGUUAGAGGCCAAUAAGAGGAUUAUGAAUGACAUCUACUGCACUCCUGAGUAGAAAUUAAAAGGUGCAAUCUCUUUGUUUCACGACGAAGCUUAUCAGUAGUGGUUGUCAGUUGAGGAGGGUAUUCAACCGGAUCAUCUGAACUGAGACUACUUUAAGACCGCUUUCUAGGGAAAAUAUGUGGGUGCAAGCUCUGUGGAUGCUUGUAGGCGUGAGUUCACGAAUCUCACGCAAGGUGAUAAGUCUGUGGUCGAGUAUGAGGUCAAAUUUCUGAGACUGAGUCGCUACGCUCAAGGCAUUGUGGCAUCUGAGUAUGAGAAAUAUGUUUGUUUUAAGGACGGCUUGAGGGAUAGUCUGAGGGUAUUAAUUGCUUCACAGAGAGCGAGAGUUUGCUGUUCUUGUGGAUAAGGCGAAGAUCGCCGAGGAGGUUAAGGACGUAGAGUGCUAGAACAGAUAUCGUGAGAGAGGCAAGAAUAAGAAGGAUUCAGAGCCCUCUAGUUCUAUUCAGAGGCCUAAGAAAUUGCCCAGACCUGAUGGGCCUGUUAGGGUGGGAGUUAUUAUUGCUCUUACUAGGAUUCAGCCUUGUGGUGACUGUGGUAGGCUUCAUCUGGGUAAGUGUUGGAGGAGAUCGGGGCUUAUUUGCGGUAUGGGUCUUUAGAGUACCAGAUUAAAGAAUAUCCACAUCGUACCAAUUAGAUGCAAGCUACGGGACCAGGUUUUGUUCAGCCUCAGAGGACAGUACAACAGCCACCUAAGGGUCGUGGAUUGGCUAGGAGUGGUAAUGGUAUGAGUCAUGGACAGAGAGUACCAGACAAAGGUGUUAAUCAGACUGAGGCGAGACAACCUGCACUGGUUUAUACUGCUCGACGCCGAGAGGAUAGAGACGCUCCUGAUGUGAUCACGGAUACGUUUUUAAUUUUUGAUAUUUCAUAUAUUACUUUGAUAGACUUAGGUUCUACACACUCCUAUGUAGCUAGUGUUGCUUCUGAAAACUUGAGAAUUUCUAUUGAGUGUACUUGUGGUGAGAUUAUUGUACUGAGUCUGUUGGGACAGUCUGUUUGGGUAAAUAGACUUUAUAGGAAUGUUUCGUUGGAAGUAUAAUGGGUUAUCUUUUCGGUAAAUCUGAUGGAGCUAUCGUUUGGGGAGUUUGACUUAAUUCUAGGUAUGGACUGAUUAGUUGAACACCGAGUUAGUUUGGAUUGCGUAACUAAGAGGGUCAUUUUGAGGACCAAAGAUGAUAAGGAGGUGGUUGUGAUUGGUGAGUGUCGAGAUUACUAGUCUAAUAUAAUCUCCGCUCCAGUAGCUGAGAAAUUAGUUUGAAAAUUGUGAGGCGUAUUUAGCCUACGUCAAUAUUUCAGUUUAUGGGGACUCUGCUGUCGGGGAUAUCAGAACAGUGAGGGAAUUUUUGGAUGUUUUUCUUGAGGAAUUGCUGGGUUUACCUCUGAAUCAAAAAGUUGAGUUUGACAUUAAGCUUCUACCGGGUACAAAAUUGGUAUUUAUAGUUCUUUACUGUAUGGCACUGAAGGAGCUUACAGAGCUUAAGGUUUAACUUUAAGAGCUUCUGGUUUCAUCCAUUCUAACGUGUCUCCGUGGAGGGCACCAGUUCUAUUUGUGAAGAAAAAUGAUGGUACCAUAAGGAUGUGCAUCGAUUACUAGCAGUUGAAUAAACUGACUGUGAAGAAUAAGUACCUACUUUCGAGGAUCGAUGAUCUGUUUGAUCAAUUUUGAGGGGCUUCAGUAUUCUCAAAAAUAGAUAUCUGUUUUGGGUAUCAUCAACUUAGAGUUAAGGAAGCCGAUAUUUAUAAGACGGCUUUUAGGACUCGUUAUGGGCACUACGAGUUCCUAGUUAUGCCCUUUGGUUUGACAAAGGCUCCAACUGGAUUCGUAGAUCUGGUGAACCAAGUUUUUGGUGUACUCUAAGAUUGAGGAUAAGCAUGACGAUCAUCUUAGGGUAGUGCUUCAGAUACUUCGAGAGAAACAACUUUACGCUAAGUUGAGAAAAUAUGAAUUCUAGUUAUGAGAAAUAACAUUUUUGGGGCACGUGGUUUCUACUGAGGAGAUCCGAGUUGAUUCUAGAAAGAUUGAGGUUAUGCUUGACUGGAAACAACCUAAGAACGUAUCUGAGAUCCGUAGUUUUCUAGGACUUACAUGUUAUUAUUGGAGGUUUAUUGAGGGGUUCUCGUUGAUUGCAGCUCCUUUAACUAAGCUUCUGUGCAAGAGUGUUCCUUUCUUCUAGACUGAUGCGCAAUAAUCGAGCUUUGAGAAGCUCAAGUCUAUUUUGACUCAAGCUCUUAUUUUGAUAUAGCCUGAAUCUGGUAGGGAGUUUGUGGUGUACAGUGAUGCGUCGCACGUUGAUUUGGGAUGUGUACUGAUACAAGAUAGUAAGGUUAUGGCUUAUGCGUCUCAAUAGCUCAAGUCACGCGAGGGAAAUUAUCUGAUGCAUGAUCUCUAGUUGGCUACGGUAGUGUUUGUACUAAAGAUUUGUAGGCCCUAUCUGUAUAGUGAGAGGUGUAUUAUCUACACCGAUCACCAGAGCCUCAAGUACCUCCUUACUCAGAAGGAAAUCUUAGGCAACAUCGAUGGAUUGAGCUGCUAAAAGAUUAUAACUGCACAAUGGAGUAUCAUCCCAGUAAGACUAAUGUGGUGGCUGAUGCUCUCAGUUGUAAAGCGAUGACUGAUUUGAUAGUAGUGUUCGCUCUUCUUAGUCUGUUGGAUGAUGGAGGUCUGUUAGCCGAGUUGCAAGUUAAGCUGACUUGGAUUGGGCAGAUUUGGGAAAGGGGAUGAGUCACUGGUUCUGCGGUUUGUCAGGUUGGGAGUGGCUAUACUUUUGAUUUUAGACUGAAUAAGGAUGGAGUUCUGUGUUUUUGAGGACGGGUUUGUGUAUCAAAUGAUUUUGAUCUGUUCUGAGGGAAGCGUAUAGUAGUCCUUAUGCUAUACAUCCUAGUGGUAAUGGAUUUUCGUGAGCUGUACUAGUGGCCGAGGUUGAAACGAGAGGUAAUAGAUUUUUUUAUUCAUUGUCUGAUAUGCCAGCAAAUUAAAGUUGAGCAUUAGUUUCCUUCAAGUUUUCUCCAACCCGUUAGGAUUCUUUUAUAGAAAUGAAAACGAGUGAUGAUGGACUUCGUUAGUGGGUUGUCCUUGACACUCAUUAAGAAUAAUUUUGUUUGGGUCAUCAUGCAUCGAUUGACCAAAUCUGCCCAUUUGAUUCUGGUCCAGACGAACUUCUUUCUACAAAAGUUAGAGAAGCUCUAUAUCUCCGAGAUUGUAAGACUGCAUGGGGUUUCAGUUUCGAUAAUUUUUGAUAGGGAUCCUUGCUUCACUUCUCGUUUCUGGAUGAAACUUUAGGAAGCCCUAGGUUCGAGAUUGGACUUCAGUACUGCGUUUCAUCCUCAGACCAAUGGUCCAUCAGAGAGGGUGAUUCAGAUACUGGAGGAUAUGCUUCGGAGUUGUGUGAUUGAUUUUUGAGGUAAUUGAGAGGAUUUUCUGUUGUUAGCUGAAUUCACCUGUAAUAAUAGUUUCUAUUCUAGCAUUCAUAUGGCACCUUACGAGGCUUCGUAUGAUCAUAAGUGUCGUACUUCACUAUGUUAGACUAGUUAGGUGAGUGAUAGAUUUUGGGUCUUAAGUUGGUUUUCUAGACUGAAAAUAAGGUUAGAUUGAUUCGGGAUUGUCUGAAGGCGACUUUUGAUAGACAGAAGUCCUAUGCAGAUCUAAAAAGGAGGGAUAUUGAGUACUCUGUGGGUGAUUCUGUAUUCUUUAGGGUAUCACCGUGGAAGAAGGUUCUACGAUUCGAUCGUAAUGGCAAGUUAAGCCUUAUUCAUUGGGUCGUACCAGAUUCUGAAGCAUGUGGGACUGGUUACUUAUCAGUUAGAGUUACUUCUAGAGUUGGACUAUAUCCAUGAUGUGUUACACGUCUCGAUGUUGAGGCGGUACUAGUCUGAUCCAUCUCACGUUGUCUUUGUUGAGGAGAUCGAUGUUAGACCAGAUUUAACUUUUGAGGAGGAACCGGUUCAGAUUUUGGAUCGAGAUAUUAAGGUUUUGAGGAGGAAGUCCAUAUCGUUAGUGAAGGUUCUGUAGUGGAAUCAUGGCAUUGAGGAAGCCACGUGAGAACUUGAGGACUUGAUGCGUCAGCAGUAUCCUCAUCUGUUCGGAUCAGGUAAAUUUCGAGCCAAAAUUUCUUUUAGAGGGUAGAGUUGUAACGCCCUGAAUAAUUUAAGUAUGUUUUUAUUAAAUUUGACAUAAAAUGUGUAUCUGCUUCAGUGGUUAAGUGUUCUGGGUGUGUGUAUGAGGUCUUGGGUUCAAGUCUCCCUUUUAGCAAACUUUGUUAUUUUGAUCCAAGCCUUAUCUCUGUUAAGUGGGCUUAUGUUUUAUCUUUAGUAAACUUAUAUUAGAAUAAGCUUACGGGUUCGAGUUAUAAGGAGUUAGCUUGCUAGAAGUCCUGUGUUCGAUUCCCUGUGUGAGCGUGGAUGAUAUUUUUGUUUCGGAUGUGAGAUAGAGGUUGGGUGGAAGUAAAAUUCUGAGGUGGUGGGGAGUUAGUGGGUUAGUUAGUGAGAUAAUGGGAAGUUGAGAUAUUAGGGGUUUCAAAUUUUAUUUUAAUUUUAAUUUUAAUUCUUUGUCUUCUCAAAGUUUCUGACGUCAAUUUUUUUCUCUUUUUUCCCUCUUUCGACAUUGUUCCCUUCUCGGUAAAAUUCCUUUUCUUUUUUCUUUGAUUCUAUUUGUGAAUCCCUUGUUCAAAUCGUUGCUACUAUGAUUUUCGAGUUCUUUAAUCGGUUGGUAAGUAGAACUUCGCAUCUUUUUAACAAUUGGUUUGGGAUAUUGGCGAUGUUAAGCUAUAGCGAUUAAUUAGUGGAAUCUGUAUUUAGGAGAAGAUUGUAAAGUAGAAAAUUCACUCCGACGGCCUAAUCCGUGUUAGUGGUGGUUUUCAUCGACGGUAAGUUUGUGAGCGUUGUUGAAUUUUUGUUAUGAAUUUGUAAAUUUGUUGCUAAGCAGGGCUAGGGUUACUAUUUACAGGUUUCGGUGAUCUCGGGAUUGGUUAUACUACAAAAACGAAUCAGGUGUGUACCCUUAACGUGAGAAAAUGAGAUUCGAUGAAAGCUGAAAUUAGAGUCUGUUUAUGCCACACGGGUGUGUGCCUGACUGUGUGGCACGACACGACCGUGUGACUGACGAGGGUGUGGCCAUGCGCAAGACACGGCUGUGUGAUAGUGUGAUAGGAGUUUGGUUGAGUGUGGGUCUUAGCUUAUUUGGUACCUUAGUUUUUUUUGUUCAAUUUAAUUCCUGAACUUAAUAUUUUUUUCUUAAUUUAGUACUUAAGCUUCUUUUUUUUCCAAUUUGGUAUCUAACUUGUUAAAGGUUUUACAAAUUUCUCCAAUAUAAUAACAAUUUUAUUUUUAUAAGGUGCGAAAAUAAUCAAUGUAUGAUUAACGUAUGACAGAUGACAUGAGAUUGAUUUUUUGUAUUUUAAUGGUUAAAUUACUUUUAAUUAAUUAUUUUAUUUUACCUUUUUAAUUUAAUAAUGAAUUUCUUUUUAUUUUUGGGUUUUAAAACUUUUUUUUCAAUAUUCAUUCAUUAAGCGUAGCUCAAAGUACAAUCUUUUAACAUAAUUUUCCUCUAAUACUGACAAUAUUUUUGUGGGAUUUGAUGGCUUUAUGAAAACUAGGUCAUGCUUUAAGCAUGUGGUUCCUCUUGUAACAUUCUUGCCAUUAACUGUCAAAGUAAUCUUAGCCUUGAUGAAAUGUAAAUUUUGAACAUGUUGUUUAGAAAAAUAGAGAAAACUUUAAAUAAAUGUAAUCAUCCCUGUCAUUAAAUUCCAUAUCAUUGGUCACAUGACAACCAUACGUUAGCUACCUCAUAAAAAAAAUGAAGAUCAUUAGUGUUUUGAGGUAAUUUGUAUAAUAUUUAAAAGGUUUAAGUGUCAAAUUAAAUAAAAAAUGAUUAAGUAUCAAAUUAUAAGAAAAAUGUCAAAAUUAAGUACCAAAUGUUAAAUAAUUAUAACAAUAUAUUAUUAGUCGGCUUACAGUUUGAUUUCCUCUUUCCCAGUUGAUUGGAACAGUUUGUGGACAAAGGGUUUGAUAUUAGAGGCAGGAUUUAGGGUUUAACAUUUAAAAAUUUAUGGUUAAAAGUUUAUAAGGUUUAAAAUUUAGGAUUUGUGUUUUGUAAAAAUAAAAAUAGAAGUAUAUAUUUAUUUUACAAAGUCACAAAUUUGUAAAAAAAAAAAUUAAAUUAAAUUAGUUUCUAGAAUUACAUUAAGAAUAAACUUUCAACAUUCACUCAUUUUCUUCUAAGAUUUUAAGAUAAUGGAUUUAUCAUGCGAAGACUUGAACCCCACAAUAUACGAUAUAUGAAGAUAAUGGAUUUAUUUAACCCCACCAUGCAACAUAUAAGGAUAUAUGGUUAGGUAAACUCAUAUUUUCUUUUAUAAAGUUUUACAAUUAAUAAAGAUUAUUUUUUAGUAAAAUAUAAAUUCAAACUCACACACAAAUAAAUUUAUGAUUUCGACCCUAAUUUCAAAUAUAAAUGAACUUUUAAAUUAUGGGUAUCGUAUUAUGAAACGAUAAACUUGCCACAUUGAAAUUUUUUAUAUGGAGUGAAUCUCAUAAUUUUUGUUUUCUUAAUUUUGUUUUAAAGCAAUGAAAUAUAGAUCACGUGAAUGUUGAUAUAAAAUGGGAAAUGGAGACGAGUGAUAUUAAUUUGUAGAUAAAGUUAAUAUUACGUAGUCGCAUAAAGCGGCAUAGUACACAACCCACAACUCUGGAAUUUUAACAUCCAUAUUUAUUCUGUAGCUAUCGUUAUUUUGGCUUCCACUAGCUGGUGAACUUUCCAUGCCAAAACUUCACUUGACGCUGCAAAUGAAACAACAAAAAACACAACAUUAAAUGUUGAGCAAGUAAUAAGCAUAAGCAAUGAAACAACUCAUACGAACCUGUUGCAGUCAGUGCUAGGGCUGAUCUUGUAAGGGAUGUUGACACCGCACUUGCCUGGGAGUCCGCUUGCAAUACCAUAGUUGAUGCCAGAAAUGCCGGCGGCCGCACUUUUGAUGCAUUUGCAAGCUGCUUGCCGGUCUGGUGUUGUUUGGGCGGCGGAGUUGAGAGAUUUUAUGCCGCCGCAGCAACCUGGGGGAACGCCACCAGCACCAUUCCCUGUCAAGUAACCAAUGCAGGGUGCGAGGGAGCUUGUGACUUGACCACAGGUUACGGCCCCUUGAGCCAGGGGUGCACCCACCACCAUGCACAACACCGCCACACAUGCAAGCUUAAGGGACAUUGAGCUAGCCAUAUCGAUUAAUCACAAGAAAAACAAACUUGUAAGGAAAAUGCUUGCUUGGAGUAGUAGUACUAUUGCUGAUUGUCGUGGUUAGGGCUUGAGGGUAGGAGGGUUUUUAUAGCCAAAAGUAGUAGCGGGUGAUGUCUGAAUUUUACUUUCCUAGCUAUUAGGUAAGUUGAGAUUAUCCGAUCCAAACAUUAACACACCACAUUAAAAGUUGAGACCAUUCAAUUAGGUUCAACUGCCAACCUACGUGAUUAUUGUUUUCUUUCAAUACAAUUAAAACCAGCGUCCAUUUGAUUUCACUCAAUCAUGCCUCCACAGCUAGGACUCAAAUAUUGGUUUAACUUUUUUCUAGGUGUUUUCUUAUAAACAUGAGAUUUACAUUUGAUGUAUUUAUAAAUGCAUUUAUUGUCAGAAUGAUACCAUUUUAUUAAAAGUAAUUUGAUUUAUAAUUGUUUGUAUAUAUACUUUUAUAUAUUAAGUCUUUAAUUGAAUUGGUAUUACGAUUCACCCAAGCAUCUAUUUAAUUGAAAAUUUGUUAAAAUAUUCAUAUAACAAAUAUUAAUAUUAAUAUAAAUGUAUUUUUAUUUUUAUUAUAAAUAAAACUAUAAUAAGAUUUAAACUUAUGACUCAUAAAUUUUACUCUUUUUAACUUAACUAUUUCAACUAAAAUUUCAUUUAGUUUUAAUAUAAAUUUUUAUAAAUAUAUUAUUUACAUGAAUUUUCCUUUUCCAGGCGGUAUGCCAUGGAACUAAUAUAAAAUAUAAACAAAUGGUUAUUUUGUUAUUUUCAAUGGAAAAAAAAAACUUCACAAGAUUAGGACACAUGCAUGGUUUUUUUAAUAUAUAUAUAUAUAUAUCAUGCAACAUUCUAAAUCUAUUUAUAGAUUAUUUUGUUGAUUGAAUUUUUAUUUUUUUUUAUUUUGGUAAUUAUAUAAAACUAAAUAUUUUCUUCGCGCAAUGUUAAGAGCAGUUUGAAAUUUAAAAGAAGUGUGGAUUCUAAUAAUAAAUUUAGUUAUCUAAUGUUUACAUAUUUUAUUAAUUUGGUCUUAAAUAUAAAAAUUAAAUUCAACAAAAUUAGCCCUCAAUGUUUACAAAAUUUUUCAUUUUAAUUCAAAUUCUAAAAUAAUCCAAUAAAUUUAGCUCUCAACAUUUACAAAAUGAAAGGAUUUGAUUUUUAAAAUUUUAAUUUUUUUUUUUAAAAACCCAAAACACAAACCUAAAUAAACUGAAAAAGAAGAAGGAAUAAUUAUCAUCACCACGAUCUAAUCUCUCAACUUUAAAAUAAGACUUCAACUUCGGUUUAACCCCAAGACAAGGCGAAACAUUGAAAGUAAGUGCAGCGGAUGCCAUUGAUUCUCCUACCUUUUGGCUAAACACAUAAAUUUGAACAACUUCAUACAUAACUAGCAGCAGUACUAAAAAAUCAUUAAUACUAUAUUUUCAAGUACAAGAAAUUGAAAAAAGAAUCACGGGUAGAGUACAAAAAUGAAAUUUGGUGUGAACCUAGAUUAACAAAACAAGGUUCACGGUUUCUCAAAAACACAAUACUAAAUUUUUAGAAUUUCUUGUGAAGAUCAAGCAAUGAGACAAAUACUGAAAUUGGCAAUGCCUUAAUAGCAAAUAAUAAUUCAAACCAAUGUAGAAAAAAGAUGAAGAAGAAGAAGAUAGGAAAAGAAUUUUUAGUUUACAUUAAAAGCCUUGAAAAGGUAGACCGAUAGGAUUGAUUGUUUUGAAUAUUACUCAACUUUCUCAUUAAUUCUUGUACUAUUAUGGCUAAGUGUGUUUUUAGAUGGUAAUGAAUUUUUUUAAUUGUUAAUAAUUUUUACAAUUAUUACACUUGAUUUGGCAGUUGUUUUUCUUUUUAAUUUACAAAAUUUUAAAAAAUUAAAAAUUUCUAUUUUGUAAAUGCUAAGAGCUAAAUUUAUUAUUAUUUAUUUUAGAAUCUAAACUAAAGUGACAAAUUUUGUAAAUAUUUGGUGUUAAAUUUAUUGGAUUUUUAUAUUUAAAAUCAAAUUGAUAGAAUGUGUAAAGAAAGUUAAUUUUUUUAUUAGACAAAUAAAAAAUAACCCAUUUCAACACUUCCGAAAAAUUUUCAAACGGCCGUUAACAUUUAGUGAUGAAAAUAUUUGAUUUCAUAUAGUUUAAUAAUUAAAAUAAAAAUAAUUAAAAAUUUAGUAAUCAAAGUAAAACACAAGUGAUAUUAUUCUAGUGAUCAUUUCUGUACUUGACCCUAAUUUUUUUUUCAAAACACUGUUAAAAAACGAUUAAUUUCUCGUUUUGGCCGGAGUUAAAAUUUUUAAUAUAUUUGUUUUUAUUAAAUUUAAAAAUUAUAAUUUUACAUAAUAUAUUUUUGAUAGAAUACAUAUGAUAUAAUUUUAAUCAGUGACACCUGUUAAAGCUUGUUAGAUCUCCUGUAUCUCUUUCAAUCUGGUGGUAAAUGAAGCAAUCAAUGAGUAUUACAACCAGCCACAUGUCAUUCAAUUCACAUUAUAUCAAUCUUUUCCCUUUUCUCUCAUUUUGGUAGUUAAUUCCUUUUUUUGUCAUCGAAAUUAUAUUUUUUUCUCAAAUUGAUAAUUUCCUUAAUCCGUUAAGUUUGUUAAAAGAAACCUUAAUCUUAUUUAAAUUAUAUCUUUUUUUUUUUAUUUUGAUACUUAAACAUUUUUGUCACAUGUGGUAUGUAAUUUAUUUUUUCUUAAGUUGUUAGUUUAAUUAUUACUCAAAUAGUUAAGUCUAUUUAAAAAAAGAUAACUAUUUAAAAAUUACCAUAUUCGAACUAGCUAGGCCAUUAGUUCCUGGUUUAAUCAGUUUAUCUAGUUUGAUGAAAUCAAUUAUUAAAAAUUCAUAAAAAUAAAAAUGUUAAAAAAUAGAGAAAACUAGCUCAACUAGUUUUUUUUUUAAGCUCGACUCAAUCAAUCUGUAUCAGUUUGUAGGUUAAUCGGUUCAAGCCCUAUCUCCAAACUAGUAUCCCAGUUGGUUCCUAGUAUUAAGGGUGAGCAAAAUUUGAAUCGACUCGAAAAAAUUUAAAAAAGUUCAAAUUUUGAAUUAUUUGAAUCGAGUUAAUCGAAUCAACUCGAUUUUUUUUUAAUUUCAAGUUCGAGUCGAGUUGAGUUUUUGAAUUCAAAUGACUCGAAUAAUUCGAUUAAGCCGAAUACCAAACUAUAAUAUUUUACAUUUUACCUCAAACCCCAAACCCUUUUACUUUUCCCCCAAAACUUUACUCAUUCCUCCUUGUCUGCCCCUGUAACGCCCCAAAUUUUGAAUUGUUACUGUUAGUUUCUAUUUAUAAGUAAGUAUUUGCUUCAGUGGUUAAGUGUUAUGUGUUGGUGUUUGGAUCGGGGGUUCAAGUUACACUUUUAGAGAAUUUUAUUAUUCUUUUGUUUCAACUCUUAUCCUUGAAUGCUUGAAUUAAGUUUGUAUCUGCAUUAAUUUGUGUCAAGAAUGAGUCUUCUAGUUUAAUGGUUAAGUUUUGUAUUACCUAUGGUCUCGUGUUCGAGUCUCUGCGUAGGCAAUAAAGAAAUAUUUUGGCAUGCUAUCGGGAAAUCAGUUUUAUUUUAAUAAUUAUUUUUAUUUAAAACUUAUUUUUAGUUUUUUUUAUUUUGGUUCUUCUCCUUCCUUACUGUUCAUUUCCUUCUUCUUUUUUCUCCUUUUGUAACACCCCUAACUCGAAUCCGUCGCUGGAACAGGGUUAGGAGUAUUAUUGAAGUUUACAAUUUAAACAGGCAGAAAAAUUAAACAUUUCAUAACAUAUAGCAUUCAUGUUAGAAACCAAUCAUAAUUAUGCAUAUUGUCCCUAAUACGAGCCCUCGAGGCCCAAAAUACACCUUAGAAAUAAUUCGGGACUAAAUUGAAAAUUCGGAGCAUUUUUUAGAAACUUAUAAAAUUUUUAAAACUACAGGGGUCACAUGGCCGUGUGGCUAGGUUGUGUGACUCAUAUGGCCAACAGACACGCCCAUGUCUUAGACCGUGCGGGUAUUCGAAAUAGGGACACACGGUCGUGUCCCAGCCAGUGUCCAUGCCCGUGUAACUCACUAACUUGGGCCACACGGUCAAGCCAUACGCCCGUGUGCCAGGCAUUGUGAGCAUACUAACUUGCAUUCUUUAAAAGAUACAGGGGACACACGGCCAUGUCACCUGACCGUGUGUGACACACGCCCGUGUCUCUGCCCGUGUGGACAAAAAUAGGCUAUUUUUCAAGUCAUAAAUAUUCAUGUAUUCUUUAAAAGAUACAGGGGACACACGCCCGUGUCUCUGCCCGUGUCUCUGCCCAAUUUGGUACCAACCUAAACACAACAAUUUGCAUAUAACCAAGUCAUAAAUAGGCAUCCAAAACCAGCCAAAAUCAAGCUUAAAACAUGUAAUAUCAUCACAUACAACCAAUAUGCCCUUAGGCACCUCAAAUGACAACUUAUAAUAUUAAUAUUCAUGUAUUCAAUAUAGCCAAAUGUAUAACUCACUUAUAUGCAUAUUUUCAUCCAAAGUUUAUUAAGCAAAUUUACAUCAUUUCUUACCAAAUUACUUACCUUCCAAAACAUAUUAUUUGGUGCUAAAAUGUAUUUAACAUACUAACAUAUUUAACUUAUAUGCCUUACAUAUCCAGACACCAAUUCAUGAUCAAUUCUUCACAUUCCAAAACACAUAUAUGAAAUGCACAUUAGGUUACCUUUUUACCACUCUUUAUUCAAUCAUGAACCAAACUACAUGUCAACCAUAAUAAGCAAAAUAUGCACAUAUCCAAAAUUCCAUAACACAAACAAAACAAAUGGCUAAUCUCAACAAAACACAUAUAAGCCAACAUUGGCCAAACUAAUCUAUACAUGCCAUUAUAACCGAAAUUAAACAACCGAAUGUACCAAAAGAGCCAAUGGAUAGUGUGAUAUAGCUCCGACAAGCUUUCAACCAGAACGAGCUUUCGAAUCACUAAAAACACAGAAAAUAACACAGAGUAAGCAUUCAAGCUUAGUAAGUUCAUAUAGCAUAUAAUUUAACUUACCAUUUAGUCACAUUUAAGGUAAGCAUACAAAACAUAUCCAAACUCAAUUAGGAUAAAAGCCUCAACACAUAUCCUCAUCAACCAUGUUAGUCAUGUAAUUCAUAUAAAUAUCAAGAAACAUGUAUGAGCUCAACAAUAAUCAAACUUGCAUGUACAUAUAAUUUCCACAUCAUGUAUUUACAUAUCAUGUACAAAUCAUUUUCAUAUAUCUCAUGUAAAUACAUGUAGUAGUUUGUAUUGAACUCAUGUAAUAUCAUAACAGAACAGUGCCCGUUGAACCAUUUAGAUUAUUGUUGGAUACGCGGAUAGUACACAUGAGGUGUACUGAACUGUAAUUCAUCAAUUCAUGUACAUGUAUGCUCAUAUGAGCUAUAAACAGUAAGCUCCUCUGAGAUGAAUAACAAUAAGCUUGUACGAGCUGAAUAUCGGUAAGCUCAUAUGAGCUGAGUAUCGGUAAGCUCAUAAGAGCUGAAAUCGAUAACCCUAAUGACAUGUUUACCAAGCCAUGACAUUCCACUAACACAUUUAACCUUUAAAAUUAUUUCAAUUUACAAGUUUAAGAAAGAACAUAAAAGAUGAUACUUGGCUUUAUUUUACUAAAUUUUGUUAUUUACUUAAUUACUUAUUUAACCUUUAAAAUCAUUUCAAUUUACAAGUUUACUAAGCCAUGACAUUCCACUAACACAUUUAAGGGUUAUUUACCAUAUAAGGACCUCUACUUUAAAUUUUUAUAGCUAUUUAAUACCUUUAGCUAUUAGAACUUUACUUUUACACUUUACGCGAUUUAGUCAUUUUUAUCAAAUUGAACAUGUAAACGGUAAAAUUUCUUAACGAAAUUUUCAUAUGGUAAUAUUAUCAUGUUUUCGACCAUAAAAUAAUAAUAAAAUAAAAUUUUUUACUUCAUAUUUGUGGUCCCAAAACUACUAUUCUGAUUUCACUGAAAAUGGGUUGUUACACCUUUCUUGCUUGAUUGCUUCCGUAAGUUUGCUAUCGUGCUUAAUUGGGCAUUCUGUGUGGUUUCUUACAUUGAUUGCAAGGAUAUUGCGUAAGUUAUGUUGUUGUUUUUUACCUAUUUUUUCUAGACUUCGUCUGUUUCGUCGAGGUUAGAUAUUACUGUUAAUGGUUGUAAAAUCUCGUUAAUAGUUCCAAUGGAUCUUCUUUUAGGAAAAGGUUUCAAAAGUAACAUUUCCCUGUGAGAUUAGGUCCGAAUUGUUGUUGCUUGCUUGUCAGUAAUUGAAAAUUUCUAUUUUGGAUAGCUGCGUCGAAGUUUUCGACGAACGUUAGUUUUGAGUGCUAAUUUUGGCAUUUUGAGUUGAUUUAGUCAUUUAAUUCGUCAAUUAAUUGUCGUUUUAGGUUUCAGAUUCUUGUGUGUUGCUUCUACAUCGAAACUACAUCAAGUGUGUAACGAAAACUCAUUUUUCUAUGAUUUACGAAUGCUAGAAAACAUGGCUGUUAAUCACACGACCGUGUGUUAGGCCAUGUAACUUACUGUUUAUGUAUUAAAGUCACCGAGCCAAGGACGUGGGCGUGUGUCCUAGUCGUGUAACUUACUAUUUGUGGAUUGGAGUCACACAGGCUAGGGACACGUUUGUGUGUCCAGACUGUGUGAAGGAAAUUUUAUGAAUUGAGUCACACAAGCGUGUGCUUGACUAUGUCAUAGACCGUGUAACUCACUUUUUUGAGCCACACGAUCGUGUGCCAGGCCGUGUGAUAGAUCGUGUGCUACACGGGCCAGCCUUCCGGGACAUGUGAAUCCACACAAGUGUGUGGGUCAAAAUUUCAAAUUUUUUAUUAGGGCCGUAAACAUCAUUCCAGUCAAACGUAGGCCUACUGUAGGGUCUGGAUGAUCUGAUUUGGGUUAUAAAACCCAUUGACUAGUUAUCUGUUUCUGUAUAAACUGUUAUUUUAUAUACAUCAUAGAAUUGUAAACUAGAGAGUAGUUGUAUUCUGUAUUAAUUGAGUAUAACCUGAAAUUUGUAACAUCGUAUGCUUAUAUCUGUAUCUGUAACAUUGCAUCUGCAUUGGGGUUGGGAUUGAAUAAGGAGGAAGUUAUGGCAGUUAAAUAAUCUGCUAAGACUGGUGGCUAAGACACGUAAAUGUAUCUAAUUUUGGUGACUUUCGCAUUCUGUCCUAGCAAUUAGUCUGCAACCUUUUGAACGUGACAUAUGGUCACUAUGUGGUGUGUAGGGACGAUACCCUUUUUGGUGUGUAGGGUUGGAUGCAGAUGGUGUGUAAUUGACAUAUUCUACUCUAUUUCCGUAUAUAAUUCUGAGAACUGUUCUAACUUUAAGAAAUUGAAGAUCUAUUUUGUUGUUUCACUUAAUAAUAAUAUAAGUUAUACGCUAUGUAUAACACCCUUUACCCGAGACCGUGGUCGGAGUCGAGCAUGAGGUGUUACUUGACUUAACUUAAAAGUUCAGGGCAUAAAAAUUUACUUUCAAAAUUAAUUUCACCAUUCACAAUAAAGUUGUCCACCUGAGCAGCAGUCACUAAAUUAAUUAUAACUCAAGCUAAGAAACUCGAAAUUUAGAUUCGUAAAUUUUCCCUGAAACUAGACUCAUAUAUCUAUUCACAAAAAUUUUUCAGAAUUUUUUAUUUGACCAAUUAGUACAGUUUAUUAGUUGAAGUCUCCCCAGUUUCACUAAUCGACUAUCCUGACCUCUCGUCACUAAAAUUCAAUUAUCUCAUUAUACAGACUUGACAUGCUGAUUCCACUUAUUUAUACUUAAAAUAUACUCAUUAAGGAAUUUAAAAAUAUAAUUUAUAACUCAUAAUUCUAUUUGUACAAUUUUUAAUGAAUUUCUAAAGUCAGAACAGGGGACUUCAGAAUCAUUCUGACUCUGUCUCACUAAAAUUAAAAUAUCUAAAAGUAUAUAACUCUUUUGCUUACUCUAUUGCUUUCAUGUGAAAGUAGACUCAUUCAGAUUUAAUUUCAUCUCUCGCUAAACAUAUAAUUCUAUUUCUACAAUUUUUGGUAAUUUUUCAAAGUUACAUCAAUGCUGCUGCCCAAAAAUAGUUCCAUUGAAAUUUUUAAAAAAAAAUUCAAUAUAACCCCUUUAUAAUUAUCUAACCUUCCCUGCAAAUUUCAAAUCACAACCAAUUUCAGUAUUUCAACUACUUCACUUAAAUACUAAUGAAGUUCAACUAAUCAACCAUUUCAAACUAAAAACAUGUAUAGUUCAAUGUUUAACACAACCAUCACAUUCAAAUUUAUUCAUUCUAUUACUUUUUACUUCAAUUCCCUAUACAUGUCAUAUAAAUCCAAAAAGUUGUUUAACAAAAUCUACAGGAGUAAAUCUGGAUAGUGUGAUUCUUGGUGUAGAUCUGAUCCUCCGAAUGUAUAAAUACGUCAAUCUACAAGAAUCAAUAAACACACAAUUAAGCGUAUAGAAAGCUUAGUAAGUUCAUAGGCACCAAACAUAAAUCUUACCAAACAUUUAUACACUUAUACAUUAUACACCAUUACUAAGUUUACCUGUCAACCACAAUCUUUGGUGAGUUCCUUGGUAUAAACUCACUACUACUUAUUCUUUUACCAUAAUUCCUUUGGGCCCAUUUGUCACUUACCAUCCUUGAUCAAAAUUAAGGAACGGUUACGGAAAAUUGAGUACUUCACUUUCACUUUGCCAUAGUAUAACUAUGGUCUUACGUAUGAUCAAACAUCACUUGUCCUUGAUAAGAUAAGUGUAGCUAGGCAACCACUUAUCACUUUGUCACUUGAUCAGAUAAGUGCAGCUAAAGCUACCAUUUAUCACUUUAUCACCACUUAUCACUUGUUCUUGAUUAGAUAAGUGUAGCUAAAGUUACCACUUAUCACUUUGUCACCACUUAUCACUUGUUCCUAAUCAGAUAAGUGUAGCUAAAACUACCACUUAUCACUUUGUCACUUGAUCAGAUAAGUGUAGCUAAGCUAUCACUUAUCACUUUGUCACUUGAUCAGAAGUACUCAAAUCCGGUGUUCUGCUCAAUUUGAUCAUUUAUUCAGUUUUCACAUUUUUAUUUUAUUCUCAUUUCAUCAAUAAAUAUAUAUAUUUCAUCAUACAUUAUAUAAUUCAUGAAAUUAACAUUUAAUCAUUAAAUUUUAGCCAUAUGAACUUACCUGGGUUGAUUUGCUGAAUUUGUAAAAGUUUAGGGACUAAUCAGCUACUUUUUUUUUCCUCGACUUGUUUCGGGUUCUCAAUAUGAUUCAAAUAUAUGAAAAACCAACUUGGAGGGACUCUUCAAUGGUGUUUUUUGCUAAAAAAUAUGAGGAAUUGCCUAGAAACACUUUUAGUUAAGAUUUUUAUUUGUUAUUUUUUACAAAAUUUCCAAUUUUGCCCUUAUUACAUCACUUUUUCAAAUUUUUCUUCUCUUAUGUCGUCUCAACUAUUCCAUAUUGGCAUAUUUAUGCCUUAAGUCCCUCCUUAUUUACCACUUAAGCUAUUUAAUCACUUUUAACAAAUUUUACAUUAUUUUCAGUUUAAUCCUUUUUAAUUAAUUAACCACCCAAACGUUAGAAUUUUCUAACGAAAAUUUAAUACCAACUCAAUGACACUCCAUAAAUGUUUCUAAAAAUAUUUAUGGCUCGAUUUAUGAGGUUGAGGUUUCAAUACCUCAUUUUCGAUUCUAAUUAUUUUAAUAUUUAUUCUUAGUACAUUAUUCACUAUUUCAAAAAUUUUCCUAACUUCGCAUUUAACUUAUACUCACUAAAUUAAUAAUAUUUUCUACUCAUUUGUCAAAUUUAAUGAUCUCGAAUUACCAUUCCGACACCACUGAAAAUUCAGGCCAUUACAACUCUCCCCCCAUUUUGGAAAUUUCAUCACCGAAAUUUCGUACCUGAAAAUAAAUUCGGAUACUGAAAUCUCAGCAAUUCCUCUGUUUCCCAGGUUGCCUCCUCAGAUCCAUGUCGAUUCCAUAACACCUUAACUAGUGGUACAUGUUUAUUCCUCAACUCUUUAACCUUCUGAGCUAAAAUUUUCACCGGUUCCUCUGAAUAAGUCAUGUCAGGUUGAAGCUCUAUUUCCGUAUGAGGAAUUACAUGUGAUGGAUCUGAUCUGUACCGUCUCAACAUAGACACAUGAAACACAUUAUGAAUCUUUUCAAGUUCCGGGGGCAAAGCUAAUCUAUAGGUUACCGGACCGAUUCUUUCAAUGAUUUCAUACGGCCCGAUAAAUCGUGGGCUGAGUUUCCCCUUUUUGCUGAACCGCAAAACUUUCUUCCACGGUGACACUUUCAAAAAUACACGAUCACCCACAUUAAACUCUAUAUCCCUUCUCUUCAAAUUUGCAUAUGAUUUUUGCCGAUCGGAGGUAGCUUUUAAACAAUCUCGAAUAAUACGAACUUUUUCUUCAGUUUCCUGAGUCAAUUCCACUCCCACUAGUUUCGAUUCACUUAAUUCAGACCAAUAUAAUGGAGUUCUACACUUUCUUCCAUACAAAGCUUCAAACGGUGCCAUUUUAAUGCUAGUUUGAUAACUAUUAUUAUAAGCAAAUUCGGCUAAAGGUAAAUACCUUUCCCAGCUACCGCCGAACUCAAGUAUACAACACCUUAACAUAUCUUCUAAAAUCUGAAUCACUCGCUCUGACUGCCCAUCUGUCUAGGGAUGAAAAGCUGUGUUGAAAUUUAAUUUGGUGCCUAAAGCUUCCUGUAAUUUACUCUAAAAUCUCGAGGUAAAUCUCGGAUCUUGAUCUGAAAUAAUAGAUGUCGGUACCCCAUGUAACCUCACUAUCUCAGACACAUAUAACUCCGCUAACUUUUCAAGCUGAUAAUCUGCUCUGACUGGAAUAAAAUGUGCUGACUUAGUUAACCGAUCAACAAUCACCCAUAUUGAAUGUUUCUUCUUCAGAGUUACUAGUAAUCCAGAUACAAAAUCCAUCGUAACAUGUUCCCAUUUCCAAUCUGGAAUCAUAAUGGGCUGUAACAACCCUGUCGGCACUUGAUGCUCAGCUUUCACCUGUUGACAGAUCAAACAUCUUGCUACAUACUCAAAGAUUUCCCGUUUCAUUCCGGGCCACCAAUACAUUUUCUUCAAAUCACAAUACAUUUUUGUACUACCCGGGUAAAUAGAACACAUACUACUGUGAGCCUCUGAUAAAAUAUCAUUUUUCAAGUUUAAAUUAUUCGGAAUACAUAUUCUAUUACGAUAAUAUAACAUACCAUUUUCAUCAAUGGAGUAUUCUGAGCUUAACUUAUCUUGAACCAUCUGUCGCUUUAUCAUCAAUUUUGGGUCAUCAUCCUAUAACUCCCGAAUCCGUUGAAAGAACACGGGUUUAGCCUUUAAUUCUGCUAGUACAGAACCAUCCUCAUUAAUAGAUAAAUGAGCAUUCAAUGCCCGUAGUGCAAAUAAUGAUGAUUUCCGACUAAGCGCAUCUGCUGCGGCAUUUGCUUUCCCUGGGUGAUAGUCAAUGACAAGAUCAUAAUCUUUCAGCAACCCCAACCAUCGUCUCUGUGUCAAAUUUAACUCUUUCUGAGUCAUUAAAUACUUCAAGCUUUUAUGAUCAGUAUACACGUAACAUUUCUCACCAUAUAAGUACUCUCCAUAUCUUCAAAGCAAACACGAUCGCUGCCAAUUCCAAAUCAUGUGUAGGAUAAUUCUUGUCGUGCGGUUUCAGUUGCCAAGAAGCAUAUGCCACCACUUUGCCUGACUGAAUAAGUACACAGCCCAACCCAUUUACAGAUGCAUCACUAUAUACUACAAACGGUACACCCGAUUCUGGUUGAGUCAACACUGGAGCCUCUGUCAACAUCUUUUUCAACUGAUCGAAACUCCGCUGACAUUCAUCUAACCAUAUAAAUUCAACAUUCUUUUGUAGCAAUCGAGUUAACGGUAAGGUAAUCAUUGAGAAAUCUUUGACAAAUCGACGAUAAUAACCUGCCAAUCGUAGAAAACUCUGCACUUCAGUCACAUUCUUCGGAACUUUCCAAUUUAUCACUGCCGCUACCUUACUUGGAUCCACUCUUAUUCCAUCAGCUGAUACAAUAUGACCCAAAAAUGCAACUUCAUGGAGCCAAAAUUCACAUUUGCUGAAUUUGGCAUACAAUUGUUUCUCCCACAAAGUCUGUAAUACAAUCAUUAGAUGUUGUGCAUGUUCGGACUCUGUCUUUGAAUAAAUCAAUAUAUCGUCAAUGAACACAACCACAAAUCUAUCCAAAUAUGACUGAAAAAUUCUAUUCAUCAAAUCCAUAAAAGCAGCAGGGGCAUUGGUUAAACCAAAUGGCAUCACCAAAAAUUCAAAAUGACCAUAUCGAGUUCGAAAGGCAGUUUUCGGCACUUCACACUCUUUAACUUUCAACUGAUAAUACUCGGAUCGAAGAUCUAUCAUGGAAAAUACUGUAGCACCUUUCAACUGAUCAAACAAAUCAUCAAUAUGAGGCAAAGGAUUUUUAUUCUUUACUGUUACCUUAUUCAACUGUCUGUAAUCUAUACACAGUCUUAAAAAACCGUCCUUCAUUUUCACAAACAAGACAGGUGUACCCCAGGGCGACAUACUCGGUCUGAUGAACCCUUUAUCUAAUAACUCCUGCAGCUGCGCCUUCCGUUCUUUUAACUCGACUGGAGCCAUUCUGUAUGGUGUCAUUGAGAUAGGAGUUGUUCCGGGGAUCACAUCAAUUACAAAUUCAACUUCUCUAUCAGGUGGUAGACCGGGUAACUCUUCAGGGAACAUAUCAGGGAAUUCAUUCACCAUUGGCACUUGUUCGAGCUUCAAACCAGAACCCUGAGUAUCCAGGAUAUAGGCCAAGAAUGCUUCGUUGCCUUUGUGUAAUAACCUCUGAGCAGAGAGAGCUAAAAUAAUUCUGACUGUAUCACCCAGAUUUUCAGACCCAACUGAGAUUAUAUCUCCCGUUUGACAUUUCAAACUGAUUUGUUUAUCACGAUAAUUCACUACCGCAUCAUGUCUCAUUAACCAGUCCAUCCCCAGAAUAAUGUCAAAUUCCCGAAAAGGUAACAACAUCAAAUCAGCGAGGAAUUCAUAGCCUUUCACUUUCAGUGGACAAUUACGACAUAUCAAAUUAACCAUCACACUUUGACCUAAUGGGUUUGUGACUUGUAUAUCAAAUUCAGUGGACUCAACAGAUAAUUUCUUUUUAGAUGCUAACAUAGUGCAAAUAUAUGAAUGAGUAGAUCCAGGGUCUAUCAAUGCAUAAACAAUAACAUCAUAAAGAUAGAAAGUACCAGCAAUUACAUCAGGAGCCGUAGCCUCUUUCCUUGCUCGAAUGGCGUAGGUACGUGCUGGUGCUCUAUUCUCUGAUCGACCAACUGAUUCCCUCGUACCCGAACGGGUAGUCCCUGUAGCACUGCUCUGGCCCGAACGUCUACUUUUUUGGGGAAUGGUUCUCUGUAUUUCUUUCUGUUCCACUUCAUCUUUUUACAGUCGGGAACAAUCUCGAAUAAGAUGAUUAGUACCCUCACAUUUUUAACAAGCCCCUAUCUUGGUCCUGCAUUCUCUGAAAUGAUAUCUUCCACAAUAUUGACACUUAGGCCGGGGAGCAUUCUGAACACUGCUCACACUUGCUGGAGGUCUAUCGAAUACCCUGAAAUCAGAUUGUCUUGGUCUAUCUCUACCCGAUCUUCUCGACAGUGAUGUAGUUCGACUAAUUUCUUCUCUAGAUUUGUUCACUGGUAAAUCUAAAAAUGACUUAGAAGCACCUCUUUUGAAUGGCUCUUUACUUUUUCGAUCCCGCUACAUUUUUCUGUUGUAUACUUCUUCGAGCUUUUGAGCACGGUCUGACAGAACAGGGAACUCUCGUAUUUCAUUACCCCCAAUCAUCAUUCUAAUUUCAUCAUUUAACCCUUCUUCAAACCUGAUACACAUUUCUUCUUUAAUAAGUACAAUGUCUCGGGCAUAUUUGCUGAGGUAGACAAAUUCUCUUUCGUAUUCAGCCACUGAUUUAUCUCCCUGGCGUAGGUCGAGAAAUUCCCUUUUAUUUUUAUCCAAAUACCGUCUGCCCACAUAUUUCUUCUUAAAUUCAUUUUGGAAAAAUUCCCAAUAAAUUUUCUCUGUCGGAACCACAUCCUCAAUCGUCUCCCACCAACUAUAAGCUUCUUCUUUCAAUAGAGACACAACACAACUCAAAUAAUCAUCUAGUGAGCAAACCAUUUCUUUAAAAAUUCUUAUUAAACUCUGUAACCAAUAUUCAGCUUUGACGGGAUCUUUAUCAGUCCUUCCCCGAAAUUCUUCGGCUCCAAGUUUUUUAAGCCUUUCCAAUGGAGAACGCUUUCUGGAUUCAGUCGUUGUAAAAGGUGGAGGAGCAACCGGGUGUGCCACCGAUGGAGCAGUAGGGGGAGGAGGUGGUUCAGCCUGAUUUCUUUCUUGCCUCAUUUCAGUAUAUCAUUGAUUCAUAAUCCCAUAAAUCAUAUUCUUUAACUCUUGCUCUCGCAUUUGGGAGAUCGGAACAUCACUGCUUGUUCUUUGUUUAGAAUUAUGUAUUCUACUAUUAACUUCUUCUUUCUCAGUACGUUUAGGUAUAUCUGACAUCUCCAUAACCGGAGAAUAUCUACUAUUAACUUCUUCUUACUGGAUUCAGUCGUUGUAAGAGGUGGAGAAGCAACCGGGGGUACCACCGAUGGAGCAGUAGGCAGAGGAGGUGGUUCAGCCUGAUUUCUUUCUUGCCUCAUUUCAGUAUACCACUGAUUCAUAAUCCCAUAAAUCAUAUUCUUUAACUCUUGCUCCCGUAUUUGGGAGAUCAGAACACCACUGCUUGUUCUUUGUUCAGAAUUAUGUAUUCUACUAUUAACUUCUUCUUGCUCAGUACGUUCAGGUAUAUCUGACAUCUCUAUAACCGGAGAAUAUCUAUAAAAAUAACAAAGAUUAGAUCGCAUCAUACGCAUUACACUAUCACAGAUUUAUAUGGCAUGUAUUUCUAAACACUUUACACUUUACACAUAUUCCGAGAACCGGCUAAACCUGGAUCUGAUACCAAUAAAAUGUAACACCCUUUACCUGAGACCGUUUCCAGAGUCGAGCAUGAGGCGUUACUUGACUUAACUUAAAAGUUCAGGGCAUAAAAAAUUACUUUCAAAAUUAAUUUCACCAUUCACAAUAAAGCUGUCCACCCACGCAGCAAUCUCUAAAUUAAUUAUAACUCAAGAUGCGAAACUCGAAAUUUAGAUCUGUAUAUUUUACCUAAAACUAGACUCAUAUAUCUAUUCACUACAAAAUUUUCAGACUUUUUGGUUUGGCAAAUUAGUACAGUUUAUUAAUUGAAGUCUCCCCUGUUUCACUAAUAGACUAUCCUGACCUCUCGUCACUAAAAUUCAAUUAUCUCAUUAUACAAACUUGACUUGGUGCUUUCAAUUAUUUUUACUUAAAAUAGACUCAUUAAGGAAUUUAAACAUAUAAUUUAUAACUCAUAAUUCAUUUUGUACAAUUUUUAAUGAAUUUCUAAAGUCAAAAUAGGGGACUUCAAAAUCAUUCUGACUCUGUCUCACUAAAAUUCAAAUAUCUAAAAGUAUAUAACUCUUUUGCUUACUCUAUUGCUUUAAUGUGAAAGUAGGCUCAUUCAGCUUUAAUUUCAUCUCUCACUCAACUUAUAAUUCUAAGUCCACAUUUUUGGUGAUUUUUCAAAGUUACAUCAAUACUGCUGUCCAAAAACUGUUCCAUUGAAAUUUUUUUAAAAAAUUUCAAUAUAACCCUUUUAUAAUUAUCUAACCUUCCCUGCAAAUUUUAAAUCACAACCAAUUUCAGUAUUUCAACCACUUCACUUAAAUACUAAUGAAGUUCAACCAAUCAACCAUUUCAAACUAAAAACAUGCAUAGUUCAAUGUCUAACACAACCAUCACAUUCAAAUUUACUUUGCAUAUUUAGAUAUUCAUUCUUUUACUUUUUACUUCAAUUCCCUAUACAUGUCAUAUAAAUCCAAAAAGUUGUUUAACAAAAUCUACCGGAGUAAAUCUUGAUAGUGUGAUUCUUGGUGUAGAUCCGAUCCUCUGAAUGUAUAAAUACGUCAAUCUACAAGAAUCAAUAAACGCACAAGUAGGCUUAAUAAACACACAAGUAAGCUUAUAGAAAGCUUAGUAAGUUCAUAGGCACCAAACAUAAAACUUACCAAACAUUUAUACACUUAUACAUUAUACACCAUUACUAAGUUUACCUGUCAACCACAUUCUUUGGUGAGUUCCUUGGUAUAAACUCACUAAUACUUAUUCUUUUACCAUAAUUCCUUUGGGCCCAUUUGUCACUUACCAUCCUUGAUCAAAAUUAAGGAACGGUUACGGAAAAUUGAGUACUUCACUUUCACUUUGCCAUAGUAUAAAUAUGGUCUUACGUAUGAUCACUUAUCACUUGUCCUUGAUCAGGUUAGUGUAGCUAGGCUACCACUUAUCACUUGUUCCUGAUCAGAUAAGUGUAGCUAAGCUAUCACUUGUCACUUUGUCACUUGAUCAAAAGUACUCAAAUCCGGUGUUCCGCUCAAUUUGAUCACUUAUUCAGUUUGCGCAUUUUUAUUUUAUUCUCAUUUCAUCAAUAAAUAUAUAUAUAUAUUUCACCAUACAUUAUAUAAUUCAUGAAAUUAACAUUUAAUCAUUAAAUUUCAUCCAUAUGAACUUACCUAGGUCGAUUUUCUGAAUUUGUAAAAGUUCAAGGACUAAUCAGCUACUUUUUCUUUUCCUCGACUUGUUUCGGGUUCUCGAUAUGAUUCAAAUAUAUGAAAAACUAGCUUGGAGGGACUCUUCAAUGGCGUUUUUUGCUGAGAAAUAUGAUGAAUUGCCUAGAAACUCUUUUAGUUAAGAUUUUUAUUUGUUAACUUUUACAAAAUUUCUAAUUUUGCCCUUAUUACAUCACUUUUUCAGAUUUUUCUUCUCUUAUGCCGUCUCAACUAUUCCAUAUUAGCAUAUUUAUGCCUUAAGUCCCUCCUUAUUUACCACUUAAGCUGUUUAAUCACUUUUAACAAAUUUUACAUUAUUUUCAGUUUAGUCAUUUUUAAUUAAUUAACCACCAAAACGUUAGAAUUUUCUAACGAAACUUUAAUACCAACUCAAUGACACUCUAUAAAUGUUUCUAAAAAUAUUUAUGGCUCGAUUGAUGAGUUUGAGGUUUCGAUACCUCAUUUUCGACUCUAAUUAUUUUAAUAUUUAUUCUUAGUACACUAUUCACUAUUUCAAAAAUUUUCCUAACUUCGCAUUUAACUUAUACUCACUAAAUUAAUAAUAUUUUCUACUCAUUUGUCAAAUUUAAUGAUCUCGAAUUACCAUUCCGACACCACUGAAAAUUCAGGCCAUUACAACUCUCCCCCCAUUUUGGAAAUUUCGUCCCCGAAAUUUCGUACCUGAAAAUAAAUUCGAAUACUGAAAUCUCAUCAAUUCCUCUGUUUCCCAGGUUGCCUCCUCAGAUCCAUGUCGAUUCCAUAACACCUUAACUAGUGGUACAUGUUUAUUCCUCAACUCUUUAACAUCCCAAGCUAAAAUUUUCACCGGUUCCUCUGAAUAAGUCAUGUCAGGUUGAAGCUCUAUUUCCGUAUGAGGAAUUACAUGUGAUGGAUCUGAUUUGUACCGUCUCAACAUAGACACAUGAAACACAUUAUGAAUCUUUGCAAGUUCCGGGGGCAAAGCUAAUCUAUAGGUUACCAGACCGAUUCUUUCAAUGAUUUCAUACGGCCCGAUAAAUCGUGGGCUGAGUUUUCCCUUUUUGCUGAACCGCAAAACUUUCUUCCACGGUGACAGUUUCAAAAAUACACGAUCACCCACAUUAAACUCUCUAUCCCUUCUCUUCAAAUCUGCAUAUGAUUUUUGCUGAUCGGAGGCAGCUUUUAAGCAAUCUCGAAUAAUACGAACUUUUUCUUCAGUUUCCUGAGUCAAUUCCACUUCCACCAGUUUCAAUUCACUUAAUUUAGACCAAUAUAAUGAAGUUCUACACUUUCUUCCAUACAAAGCUUCAAACGGUGCCAUUUUAAUGCUAGUUUGAUAACUAUUAUUAUAAGCAAAUUCGGCUAAAGGUAAAUACCUUUCCCAGCUACCGCCGAACUCAAGUAUACAACACCUUAACAUAUCUUCUAAAAUCUGAAUCACUCGCUCUGACUGCCCAUCUGUCUGGGGAUGAAAAGCUGUGUUGAAAUUUAAUUUGGUGCCUAAAGCUUCCUGUAAUUUACUCUAAAAUCUCGAGGUAAAUCUCGGAUCUCGAUCUGAAAUAAUAGAUGUCGGUACCCCAUGUAACCUCACUAUCUCAGACACAUAUAACUCCGCUAACUUUUCAAGCUGAUAAUCUGCUCUGACUGGAAUAAAAUGUGCUGAUUUAGUUAACCGAUCAACAAUCACCCAUAUCGAAUCUUUCUUCUUCGAAGUUACUGGUAAUCCGGAUACAAAAUCCAUCGCAACAUGUUCCUAUUUCCACUCUGGAAUCAUAAUGGGCUGUAACAACCCUGUCGGCACUUGAUGCUCAGCUUUCACCUGUUGGCAGAUCAAACAUCUUGCUACAUACUCACAGAUUUCCCAUUUAAUUCCGGGCCACCAAUACAUUUUCUUCAAAUCACAAUACAUUUUUGUACUAACCCGGUGAAUAGAACACAUACUACUGUGAGCCUCUGAUAAAAUAUCAUUUUUCAAGUUUAAAUUAUUCGGAAUACAUAUUCUAUUACGAUAAUAUAACAUACCAUUUUCAUCAAUGGAGUAUUCUGAGCUUAACUUAUCUUGAACCAUCUGUCGUUUUAUCAUCAAUUUUGGGUCAUCAUCCUGUAACUCUUGAAUCCAUUGAAAGAACACGGGUUUAGCCUUUAAUUCUGCUAGUACAGAACCAUCCUCAUUAAUAGAUAAAUGAGCAUUCAAUGCCCGUAGUGCAAAUAAUGAUGAUUUCUGACUAAGUGCAUCUGCUGCGGCAUUUGCUUUCCCUGGGUGAUAGUCAAUGACAAGAUAAUAAUCUUUCUGCAACUCUAACCAUCGUCUCUAUCUCAAAUUUAACUCUUUCUGAGUCAUUAAAUACUUUAAGCUUUUAUGAUCAGUAUACACGUAACAUUUCUCACCAUAUAAGUAGUGUCUCCUUAUCUUCAAAGCAAACACGAUCGCUGCCAAUUCAAAAUCAUGUGUAGGAUAAUUCUUGUCGUGCGGUUUCAGUUGCCGAGAAGCAUAUGCCACCACUUUGCCUGACUGAAUAAGUACACAGCCCAACCCAUUUACAGAUGCAUCACUAUAUACUACAAAUGGUACACCCGAUUCUGGUUGAGUCAACAUUGGAGCCUCUGUCAACAUCUUUUUCAACUGAUCAAAACUCCGCUGACAUUUAUCUGACCAUAUAAAUUCAACAUUCUUUUGUAGAAAUCGAGUCAACUGUAAGGUAAUCAUUGAGAAAUCUUUGAUAAAUCGACAAUAAUAACAUGCCAAUCGUAGAAAACUCCACACUUCAAUAACAUUCUUCGGAACUUUCCAAUUUACCAUUGCCGCUACCUUACUUGGAUCGACUCUUAUUCCAUCAGCUGAUACAAUAUGACCCAAAAAUGCAACUUCAUGGAGCCAAAAUUCUCAUUUGCUAAAUUUGGCAUACAAUUGUUUCUCUCACAAAGUCUGUAAUACAAUCCUUAGAUGUUGUGCAUGUUCGGACUCUGUCUUUGAAUAAAUCAAUAUAUCGUCAAUGAACAACCACAAAUCUAUCCAAUUAUGACUGAAAAAUUCUAUUCAUCAAAUCCAUAAAAGCAGCAAGGGCAUUGGUUAAACCAAAUGGCAUCACCAAAAAUUCAUAAUGACCAUAUCGAGUUUGGAAGGCAGUUUUCGGCACAUCACACUCUUUAACUUUCAACUGAUAAUACCCAGAUUGAAGAUCUAUCUUGGAAAAUAUUGCAGCACCUUUCAACUGAUCAAAUAAAUCAUCAAUAUGAGGCAAAGGAUAUUUAUUCUUUACUGUUACCUUAUUCAACUGCCUGUAAUCUAUACACAGUCUUAGAGAACCGUCCUUUUUUUUCACAAACAAGACAGGUGCACCCCAGGGCGACAUACUCAGUCUGAUGAACCAUUUCUCUAAUAACUCCUGUAACUGCGCCUUCAACUCUUUUAACUCGGCUGGAGCCAUUCUGUACGGUGUCAUUGAGAUAGGAGUUGUUCCGGCGAUCACAUCAAUUACAAAUUCAACUUCUUUAUCAGGUGGUAGACCGGGUAACUCUUCAGGGAACACAUUAGGGAAUUCAUUCACUACUGGCACUUGUUUGAGCUUCAAACCAGAACCCUGAGUAUCCAUGAUAUAGGCCAAGAAUGCUUCGUUGCCUUUGCGUAAUAACCUCUGAGCAGGGAGAGCUGAAAUAAUUCUGACUGUAUCACCCAUAUUUUCAGACCCAACUGAGAUUAUAUCUCCCGUUUGACAUUUCAAAUUGAUCUGUUUAUCACGACAAUUCACUACCGCAUCAUGUCUCACUAACCAGACCAUCCCAAGAAUAAUGUCAAAUUCUCGAAAAGGUAACAACAUCAAAUCAGCGGGGAAUUCAUAGCCUUUCACUUUUAAUGGACAAUUACGACAUAUCAAAUUAACCAUCACACUUUGACCUAAUGGGUUUGUGACUUGUAUAUCAAAUUCAAUGGACUUAACAAAUAAUUUCUUUUCAGAUGCUAACAUAGUGCAAAUAUAUGAAUGAGUAGAUCUAGGGUCUAUCAAUGCAUAAACAAUAACAUCAUAAAGAUAGAAAGUACCAACAAUUACAUCAGGAGCCGUAGCCUCUUCCCUUGCUCGAAUGGCGUAGGUACGUGCUGGUGCUCUAUUCUUUGAUCGACCAACUGAUUCCCUCGUACCCGAACGGGUAGUCCCUGUAGCACUGCUCUGGCCCGAAUGUCUACUUCUUUGGGGAAUGGUUCUCUGUAUCUCUUUCUGUUCCACUUCAUCUUUUUACAGUCGGGGACAAUCUCGAAUAAGAUGAUUAGUAGCCCUACAUUUUUAACAAGCCCCCAUCUUGGUCCUGCAUUCUCCGAAAUGAUAUCUUCCACAAUAUUGACACUUAGGCCGGGGAGCAUUCUGAACACCGCUCACACUUGCUGCAGGUCUAUCGAAUACCCUGAAAUCAGAUUGUCUUGGUCUAUCUCUACCCGAUCUUCCCAACAUUAAUGUAGUUCGACUAAUUUCUUCUCUAGAUUUCUUCACUGGCAAAUCUAAAAAUGACUUAGAAGCACCUCUUUUGAAUGGCUCUUUACUUUUUCGAUCCCGCUGCAUUUUUCUGUUGUAUACUUCUUCGAGCUUUUGAGCACGGUCUGACAGAACAACGAACUCUCGUAUUUCAUUACCCCCAAUCAUCAUUCUAAUUUCAUCAUUUAACCCUUCUUCAAACCUGAUACACAUUUCUUCUUUAGUAGGUACAAUGUCUCGGGCAUAUUUGCUGAGGUAAACAAAUUCUCUUUCGUAUUCAGCCACUGAUUUAUUUCCCUGGCGUAGGUCGAGAAAUUCCCUUUUAUUUUUAUCCAAAUACCGUCUGCCCACAUAUUUCUUCUUAAAUUCAUUUUGGAAAAAUUCCCAAUAAAUUUUCUCUGCUGGAACCACAGCCUCAAUCGUCUCCCACCAACUAUAAGCUUCUUCUUUCAAUAGGGACACAGCACAUCUCAAAUAAUCAUCUGGUGAGCAAACCAUUUCUUUAAAAAUUCUUAUCAAACUUUGUAACCAAUAUUCAGCUUUGACGGGAUCUUCAUUAGUCCUUCCUGAAAUUCUUCGGCUCCAAGUUUUUUAAGCUUUUCCAAUAGAGAACGCUUACUAGAUUCAGUCGUUGUAGGAGGUGGAGGAGUAACCGGGGGUACCAUCGAUGGAGCAGUAGGGGGAGGAGGUGGUUCAGCAUGAUUUCUUUCUUGCCUCAUUUCAAUAUACCACUGAUUCAUAAUCUCAUAAAUCAUAUUCUUUAAUUCUUGCUCUCGCAUUUGGGAGAUCGGAACAUCACUGCUUGUUCUUUGUUCAGAAUUAUGUAUUCUACUAUUAACUUAUUCUUACUUAGUUCGUUCAGGUAUAUCUGACAUCUUUAUAACUGGAGAAUAUCUAUAAAAAUAACAAAGAUUAGAUCGGAUCAUACGCAUCACACUAUCACAGAUUUAUAUGGCAUGUAUUUCUAAACACUUUACACUUCACACAUAUUCCGAGAACCGGCUAAACCGGGAUCUGAUACCAAUAAAAUAUAACACCCUUUACCCAAGACCGUUGCCCGAGUCGAGCAUGAGGCGUUACUUGACUUAACUUAAAAGUUCAGGGCAUAAAAAUUUACUUUCAAAAUUAAUUUCACCAUUCACAAUAAAGCUGUCCACCUGCGCAGGAGUCACUAAAUCAAUUAUAACUCAAGCUACGAAACUCAAAAUUUAGAUCCGUAAAUUUUCCCUAAAACUAGACUCAUAUAAAUAUUCACCAUAAAUUUUUAAGAAUUUUUAGUUUAUCCAAUUAGUAUAGUUUAUUAGUUUAAGUCUCCCUUGUUUCACUAAUAGACUACCCUGACCUCUCGUCACUAAAAUUCAAUUAUCUCCUUAUACAGACUUGACAUGGUGCUUCCAAUUAUUUUUACUUAAAAUAUACUCAUUAAGGAAUUUAAAAAUAUAAUUUAUAACUCAUAAUUACUUUUUUACAAUUUUUAUUGAAUUUCUAAAUUCAGAACAGGGGACUUCAAAAUCAUUCUGACCCUGUCUCACUAAAAUUCAAAUAUCUAAAAGUAUAUAACUCUUUUGCUUACUCUAUUGCUUUCAUGUGAAAGUAUACUCAUUCAGAUUUAAUUUCAUAUCUCACUUAACUUAUAAUUCUAUUUCCACUAUUUUUGGUGAUUUUUCACAGUUACAUCAAUGCUGCUGUCCAAAAACUGUUCCAUUGAAAUUUUUAAAAAAAAUUCAAUAUAACCCCUUUAUAAUUAUCUAACCUUCCCUGCAAAUUUCAAAUCACAACCAAUUUCAGUAUUUCACCUACUUCACUUAAAUACUAAUGAAGUUCAACCAAUCAACCAUUUCAAACUAAAAACAUGUAUAGUUCAAUGUCUAACACAACCAUCAUAUUCAAAUUUACUUUGCAUACUUAGUCAUUCAUUCUAUUACUUUUUACUUCAAUUCCCUAUACAUGCCAUAUAAAUCCAAAAAGUUGUUUAACAAAAUCUACCAGAGUAAAUCUAGAUAGUGUGAUUCUUGGUGUAGAUCCGAUCCUCCGAAUGUAUAAAUACGUCAAUCUACAAGAAUCAAUAAACACAUAAUUAAGCUUAUAGAAAGCUUAGUAAGUUCAUAGGCACCAAACAUAAAUCUUACCAAACAUUUAUACACUUAUACAUUAUACACCAUUACUAAGUUUACCUGUCAACCACAAUCUUUGGUGAGUUCCUUGUUAUAAACUCACUACUACUUAUUCUUUUACCAUAAUUCCUUUGGGCCCAUUUGUCACUUACCAUCCUUGAUCAAAAUUAAGGAACGGUUACGGAAAAUUGAGUACUUCACUUUCACUUUGCCAUAGUAUAACUAUGGUCUUACAUAUGAUCACUUAUCACUUGUCCUUGAUAAGAUAAGUGUAGCUAGGCUACCACUUAUCACUUUGUCACUUGAUCAGAUAAUUGUAGCUAAAGCUACCACUUAUCACUUUAUCACCACUUAUCACUUGUUCCUGAUCAGAUAAGUGUAGCUAAAACUACCACUUAUCACUUUGUCACCACUUAUCACUUGUUCCUGAUCAGAUAAGUGUAGCUAAAGCUACCACUUAUCACUUUGUCACUUGAUCAGAUAAGUGUAGCUAAGCUAUCACUUAUCACUUUGUCACUUGAUCAGAAGUACUCAAAUUCGGUGUUCCGCUCAAUUUGAUCAUUUAUUCAGUUUUCACAUUUUUAUUUUAUUCUCAUUUCAUCAAUAAAUAUAUAUAUUUCAGCAUACAUUAUAUAAUUCAUGAAAUUAACAUUUAAUCAUUAAAUUUCAGCCAUAUGAACUUACCUGGGUCGAUUUAUUGAAUUUGUAAAAGUUCAGGGACUAAUCAGCUACUUUUUCUUUUCCUCGACUUGUUUCGGGUUCUCAAUAUGAUUCAAAUAUAUGAAAAACCAGCUUGGAUGGACUCUUCAAUGGCGUUUUUUGCUGAGAAAUAUGAUGAAUUGCCUAGAAACUCUUUUAGUUAAGAUUUUUAUUUGUUAACUUUUACAAAAUUUCCAAUUUUGCCCUUAUUACAUCACUUUUUCAGAUUUUUCUUCUCUUAUGCCGUCUCAACUAUUCCAUAUUAGCAUAUUUAUGCCUUAAGUCCCUCCUUAUUUGCCACUUAAGCUGUUUAAUCACUUUUAACAAAUUUUACAUUAUUUUCAGUUUAGUCCUUUUUAAUUAAUUAACCACCCAAACGUUAGAAUUUUCUAACGAAACUUUAAUAUCAAUUCAAUGACACUCUAUAAAUGUUUCUAAAAAUAUUUAUGGCUCGAUUGAUGAGUUUGAGGUUUCGAUACCUCAUUUUUUAUUCUAAUUAUUUUAAUAUUUAUUCUUAGUAUACUAUUCACUAUUUUAAAAAUUUUCCUAACUUCGCAUUUAACUUAUACUCACUAAAUUAAUAAUAUUUUCUACUCAUUUGUCAGAUUUAGUGAUCUAGAAUUACCAUUCCGACACCACCGAAAAUUCAGGCCAUUACAUUAUGUUUAUUGACUCAUUUUUUCUGUUGACUGAAUUUCAGGUAACUCAUCGACUUAGGCGGGUCGGCAUGGCGAGAGCUCGGUCAUCCUUAUUUAGUAAUUUUCUGUUUAAAUUAAACUUAUGCUAUAGUUGUUUUAUCUUGAAUUACAGAUUGCAAAUUUAUAUUUCUACACUAGUUCAACUAUUUAAACAUUUUCUGACAAUUAAACUUUAAUUAGUUAAAAGUGAGAAUUUCUUAAAUGAUUUGUUGUAGCUUUCCAAGCUUGGUCCUAACAUCUAGGUCGGGUUUGGGGUGUUACAACCCAAAACCCCCAAACUUUCCCCUCAAAACUUUUACUCCCCCACCCUUUCUCUUUCUCGCUCACCCUCCCAAACCCUUUUACUUUUCCCCCAAAACUUUUACUUCCCACUUUUACCCCCAAAUCAAAAAUCAAAAUCCUCCCAAAAAAAUCCUUAAACCUAAAUAGUAAUAAUUUUAUUUAUGGCCACUAUUUAUAUUAUAAAUUAAAUUUCACAUUUUCUAUUAUUUAUAUUAUUAAAUUGUUUAAUCAUUUUGAAUCUUUAUCAAUUUCUGUUAAAACUGUAUCAUUGAUGAUGUCAUACAUUAUUUGUGUUAAAAAUUUCUAUUGGUAUCAAUUUCACAUUUUAUCUUUAAAAUAAAUUUUAUUAAAAAAAUUACUUUUUUACAUUUAAUAUAUUUUUUAAUUUCAAAAUAUAUGGUGACAAGAAUUAGAAGAUAAUUGAAGCAACUAAGCAAGUAAAAAAGCUAACAUGUAUAUAAAAGAUUAAAUAAAUUAUGAAGGGAUGAAAGUUAAUAACACAUUUGAUUACGGUGGACAAAUUUGAUAAUGAUGGGUGACAGUGGCUACAAGGAUCCAAAGUAAUUUUUUCAAUUAACUGGAAACAAAUAUAUUCGAUUCGAUUCGAUAAAAUUUGAAAUCAUUUUAGGAUGAUAAAAUAAGAUUCGUCAACUCGAUUAACUCGAAGUUUUUUCAUUUGAUUCGAUUAGACGCUCACCCCUACAAAGUAUGACCGAUUGGUCUGAUUCUGAAAAAAAUUGGUUUUGAUCAAUGAAAGAACUUUUACGAUGGCGACAGGUCUAACAAACAGGUGAUAUUUUGAAAAGAAAAUUAAUCUCCAUAGUCUCAACCUUAGGAGGGUGAAUUUUGAGCAUUGCAUUUGUUGUCAUUGUUAGACAUUAUAAAGGAAGAAAAAAGAAAGAAAAAAGUUAAAAUGAGGGAAAUUAUUGAAAAAAAGAGAGAAGAGAAUAAUUAAUUUUUUUUAAAAUUUUACAUGUCAAUCUAUUAUUGAUUAGAUUUUUUUAAUGAGUGUAACAUUUUGGUGUUAAAUGGAUAAUAAAAAAAUAUUUUAAGUAUCAUUUAUGAUAAAAAUAUUUAGGUAUCAAUUUGAAAAAAAUAUGUAGCUUAGAUACUAAUUGAUGGGUUAAUUUUUUUAGCUUAAUAAUUUGAUUAAACCGAAAUACCAACUGAAAAAAAGUUUACUCGCCGCUUAUGAAAAAAAAUAAGUAUGAAUUUGUAAGUUAAAUCUCCCUAAAAGAAAAAAUAUAUCACAUUCAAUACGGGGUGAAUGAAGCAAUGAAUGCAAUGGGGUAUUACAACCAGCCACAUGUCAUUCAAUUCAUGUUAUAUCUACCUUGUUGGCCCCACAGGCGGUCUUUUCCAUUAUUUUCGAAGUGAACGACAUGAGUCGGACCUAUAUCGGCCCCAACAAACAACCUCAACCACUUGUUUUGUUAGGUUGUUGACUAAUUUGAAUAUGUCGGCUCAAAGCUUUUUGAAAAUUAAAUUAUUUUUUAUAUUAAUAUCAUAUAGGUAUAAAAAUUUAACGUUUUGUAAAAAAAAUAAAUUUAGUGUUAAAUUUAAAUAAUUAUAAAAAAUUAUACAAAAUACAAAGACAACUUAGAGUCAAUAAAAAAAAUAUGGAAAAUCAAUUCAUACAUGAAAUGGCAUAAAAAUAUUAUGAACACUAUACAAAUAUAUGAAUGUUUUUAUAUCUAUAUAAAAUAAGUUAUUAACGCUUAAAUUUCAACCAAUUAAAUAUUAAUUUAACUAUAAACUAUAAAAAAUUAAAAUUUCAUUUACCCUAAACAAUUAUUCUAAUUUCGCCCCUGUAUAAAAUAGUUGUAAUAUUAAAAAAAAAGUUAUACGAAUAUGGAGUGUUAAAAAAAAAGGCUUUCAACUUUUAAUAUUCCAAACAAAUAAAAGAAAUAAUAAUAACAGUUUACAAGUGCAAUAAAAGUAAUACAUAUUUGAUGAAUUAAAAAUAGAAUAAAUAUAACUAACUAUAACAGAAAUAUAUUUAGAUUUAAACCAAAUUUUUUUGAAGAUGAAAUUUGAACUCACAAAUAAUAUUUAUAAAUGAUGAUAUGUUUUAGAACAUGUAUAUUUUAAUUUCAUUUGAUAUUUAAAUUAAAUGAAUGAAAUGAGUAUAUUAGCAUAAAUAUAUUGAAUUUCUAGAUUUAUUAAAAAUCCAACUAAAUAGAGUAGAUCCAUAAAUUUAAAAAAUGAUUAUGGAUUUUGAAAUAUAAAUCUAAAAUUUAAAAUCUGAAACCCUCCUAAAUGUUUUCCAAAGUAAGGCGGGGAUAAAUGGUAUAGGGAAGACGGUGGGUAGAUAGAUGUACGGUUUAUUUAUAACUUCGUUUUUAUUAGUCGGCUUACAGUUUCAUAAAAAGCAUCCGUGCAAGGCAUGUUCAAAUGCUGCACUAGCAUACCACUACUAUAAAAAAAACACAUACAAGAGCACCACAAAUUUAUCCCAAAAUACAUUAAAUAAAUGACUCCUAAGGGUGCCAGAUUUAACUAGUGUGUCUGGGAUUGUAUUAGCCUCUCUGAGGCCAUGUGAAAAAAUUUAAUGUUAUUGUUAUAUUUCCAUCUCGAUACGUUGCAAGACAUGAAGCAAUCUGUAAACAACUCUCUUUUGGAAGCAGUUUGCAUACGACUCUUCGCUAAGAACCAUUUGUUGUGAUCUUUCGCUUAGGAUUGCUCACAAAUGACCCCCAUGCACCCUAUCUCUCUCCCUCCUUAACUCAUCAUCUUGAACUCUCAUCCUAUUAUAGGUGAAUCGAGACUCUUCUCCUCCACCCUUUCCUCGUUGGUUACUUGUAGCAAAAAAAAUUAAUUUCACCGAAAAUGUUGGAGAGAUCCCAUGGUCUAAGUGUGUUGUUAGAGCAAAGCUCGAUGGCAAAUUUGGAGUCAAAUUUUAGAAUCAACCCUUUAAAAUCCAUUACACCGUAAAGGAAAAUUUUUACAAUUACAUUAACAAUAAAUAUUCAAAAUUUACUCAUCUAUCUAUACUUAUAUUAAGCCUUAUUUGAGUUGGAGUCAAGAGUCAACUAGGUACUAACUCAGUUGAGAAUUUACUAAAUAAUUUUAAUAUAAAGUAAAAAAAAUAUUAAUACGAGGGUGUUUUUAUCUUUUCAUAUUUUUAAAUAAAAAUACUAUAAUAAGAUUUAAACUUAAGUUUAAAAUUUCAAUCAAAACAUCACUUAAAUUUAAAAUAACAUUUUUAUAUAAAAUGUGUUUAGAUUCUAAGAUAAUGAAAUUUAUGAUGAGGUAUUCAAAAUGUGUUUGAAUAUGCUAAUGAGAUAUUCAAAUUGGUAUGCACAUUCCUAAUCAGGGAGCAUUAAUGAUAAUUUAGUAAAAUAAAUUAUCUCAUUAGCAUAUAGUUUAUUAUAAAAUUAUUGUGUAAAAUAAACAAUUCACAAACUUAAGAAUUUAUAACACAAAAAUUAUACAUCAAUGUUGUUAGAAUUGUAUUAUAUCCAUCGGUUGAAUUUAAAUUUAAAAAUUUAAUCAGCGAUAAUAAUUAAAAUCGUUUCAAACUAGUAAAAUAUUGAAAAUUAAGAACUAAUAAAAUAGAUUCUAAUUAUUUUUAUUUAAAAAAUGUUACCUUCUUAUUCAGGUUACAUUAAGACAAACCCAUCUUAAUUAUAAGUAUCAUAUUGUGAAUGGUAAACUUCUUACACAACAUCCACCAUUUGUCCAAAUAUGUUAAAUUAGGUGCAACAUAGAAAUUUUAUUGUAAGGAGUGAAUCUCAUUGUUUUUAUUUUCAUCAAACAUACGUCUAACUUUAUUAUUACGGGAUUAGAACUUAAAUUUGAUAAAUUGUGUGGUUUUAGGUGAUUUCUUUUCGUUAAAUUUAUCUAAAUCAACCUAACACUCGAAAAGUGAGAAUUCUCCUAAAAAUUCUUUAUGUUAGCAAAAAAUAUAGUGGAAGUAACUUGAAACGAAAGAGCAAUGAGAGAAUUGAAAAGACACAAGAAAAUAAUGCAUACAAGGUGUUUGAGUAAAUGCUCUCAAUAAAUUCUUUAACUCAAGAAGGAAUGAAGUACAACCAGUAUCUAGCCCCCCUAAAAUAGAAAAUUUUCCAUUUAUAUACCUUUAUAAUUUAUAAAAUUUAAAAUUUUACUUUCCCAUAAAAUGAUAAAAAAUUGAUUUAUUUCUUUAAAAAUUAUAAAGAUGACUAUUAAAAUAGUAAAAUUGUAUUUUUAUUAUUGUAAAAAUAUACAAUUUAAUUCUGUCUCCCAAAUUUUUUUUUUUUGGUUUCAUCCCUAAGUACAAUGAUCGUUGUAGCAGGAUACAUAGGCAUUCUAGCACAGAAUGCAAAUAUGUUGCCAAUUAACUUCGAGUCAUGGCAUAAAGUGCCCGAGAGUAACAAGAACCAAGCUCUCGAUAACAUUAAGGUAACAAAAUGUGUAUAUCAUUUAUAAUACUUGAGUUUAAGUUUCGUUUACAUUUACUUUCUGAAGUUGUGUUUUUUGUAGGGGAGAUUUGCUCUAGAGGUCUCCGAUGCUUAUGUAAAGAAGGCAUUGGGAAAAAGAUGGAGAGACCAUAAGAGCACUUUAAAGAAAGACUAUUUUAAGACAAAAACAACACUCGACGAGAGAUUACAAAAUGUCACGCCGGGAAUGCUGAGGUACCAGUGGGAAGAAGUCGUUAGAUUUUGGACUUCGAAGAAAGGAGAGGUAUGUGUUACUACAAAAAUCUUGUAAUUAUUUUGGUUUAUAGUAUUUACUAAUUAACGUACUAAUAAUUUCAUAACGUAGGAUCGUGAACGAGUUGGAACAAGUAGUAGGCAGAAACAAAAAUUCACGCACACAGCUGGGUCGAGAAGUUUUGCGUGUGUAGCUCAGGCCGAGGUAUUUUGAAUUUUUUAAUACUGGCAGAUAUUUAUUACUUUCUAUCAAAUAAUAUUUUUACUAUUGUAUUGUAGGAAGUGUUGUCGGGUCAAAAAGUUGGACGCCUUCAACUUUUUGACAUUACACAUAGGAAGAAAGAUGGAAACCCUAUGACUCCUGAAGCUGCAGAAAUUAUGGUACGUUUGCUUAAUACAAUUUGACUUGUUUUAAUUAUUUAUGCUGUUUAUUUUCUAAUGUUUUUUAUUACAUUUCUUGUAAUGCAAAUAUUGUUAAGUUAUGUUGCAUUUGUUUUGUUAAUAUAUGUUGCGUUCUUAACUAUGUGAUUUAUUUUUUAGGAAAAACUGAAGGAUAAAAAGGCGGAGUACGAAGCGAUUGCUUCCAGUGAUAGUUCUGUUCAUAUUGACGACAUUGAUAACCGGAUUAUCACUGAAGUUUUGGGUCCUGAAAGGUAUGGUCGGGUUCGAUUUCAAGGAUCUUUUGUUAACCCAUCCCAAUAUUUUGGAUCCAGCUCGCAACAAUACAUGCAUUCGGGGAGUCAGGCUCAAGCUGAAGUUCAGAGGUUAAGAGACCAGAUAGCUCAGAUGCAAGCGGCAACGAGUGAGCAAAUUACACAACUUAAAGCGGAGGCAACAUCGAGAGAAGCUGAGGUUCAAAAAAGAUAUGAAGAACUCCAGCUACAACUUAAAGCAGAUGCGGCAGCGAGAGAAGCAGAGGUAGCAGCGAGAGAAGCUGAGGUUCAACGAAAGUAUGAGCAACUGCAGCAGCAGCUUAAAGAAGAUGCGGCAACGAGAGAAGCAGCGGCUGCAGCGAGGGAAGUAGAGGCUGCAGUGAGGGAAUCAGAACAGCAUAAAAAGUUCGAUGAACUCCAGCAGCAGCUUCAGAAUAUGAUGAAGAUGUUUCAGCAGUCGCAACCGCCGUCAUCUUAGACUAUCGUUUAAAUAUACUUCAAUUUUGACUUUGGUAUUAUUAUUUUAACUUUUACAAUUUCUGUCAGAAUAAUACGAAUUUUAUUUUAUUUAUUGACAUUUAUUUUAAAUAUUAUAUAGAUUUGGUUAGAUUUGGUUGGUUGGAUUUGGUUUCUUCUGAUUUGUUUUUAUAGGAGGGGGCUGAAAUUUUUUUUUUCAAAUCUGCAAAAAUUAGCGGCGUUUUUUUGGAUAAGCGCCGCUAAAGACCAUCGUCUAUAGUGGAAUUUUUUGGCUAAGCGCCGCUAAAGACCAUGGUCUAUAGUGGCAUUUUUCGGCUAAGCACCGCUAAAGACCAUGGUCUAUAGUGGCGUUUUUUGUCUAAGCGCCGCUAAAGACCAUGGUGUAUAGUGGCAUUUUAUGGCUAAGCGCCGCUAAAGACCAUGGUGUAUAGUGGCGUUUUUUGGCUAAGCGCCGCUAAAGACCAUGGUCUAUAGUGGCGUUUUUUGUCUAAGCCCCGCUGAAAACCAUGGUCUAUAGUGGCGUUUUUUGGCUAAGCGUCGCUAAAGACCAUGGUCUAUAGUGGCGUUUUGUGGCUAAGCGCCGCUAAAGACCAUGAUCUAUAGUGGCAUUUUUCGGCUAAGCGCCGCUAAAGACCAUGGUCUAUAGUGGUGUUUUUUAGGCUAAGCGCCGCUAAAGACCAUGGUCUAUAGCGGCGUUGCAAAGAAAACGCCGCUAAAGACCAUGGUCUAUAGUGGCGUUUUUUAGGCUAAGCGCCGCUAAAGACCAUGGUCUAUAGCGGCGUUGCAAAGAAAAUGCUGCGAAAGGUCUUGAUCUUUAGCGGUGUUUAUUAUAAAAAGCGCCGCUAAAGUUACCGACGCUGUCAUUAGCGGCGAUCCUUGCGGCGCUUCGUAAAGCGCCGCUAAAAGUAUUUGCGGCGCUAAAAAAUGCCGCUAUAGACCUAAAAAAGCGCCGCUAAAACCCUGUUUUGGUGUAGUGUGAGAUGAUUACAAAUGAAGGGGGAGAUCUCUAUUUAUAGUUGAGCUCCCCUAGAUCCAAUAGUAUAGAUUGAAUUACAUCAACGAUUGAGAUUAGUACUUAUCUACAAGAUGAGUCUUAAGGAUUUUAAACUCUAUACAUCUUUAUCCCUUAGGAUUUACAUUAAUUACUCUGGUAACUCUAGUUUUACUGGAGAGUUUCACUGAACCACCAAAGGUUUAAGUAGAUGAGCUUCUCCAUAUGUUCCACGAGUUGGACAAGUUCAAGCGGAUCAAAUGAGCCCAAUUUAAUUAGUUAAUCUCAAUAAAACGUUCUAUGCACAAUGAUCAUGAACUUUGAUCCACAUCUCAAAAUGAUCAGAUGAAUAAUCUCUCUUAAUUAUAUUUUUAUAAAACUUGAUAUUUUCAUUUAAAAAGAAACACAAUCACAUAUAAUAAUGUCUCCAAAAGAGUCGUCCACUUCAAAGAUUUAAAGUAAUGUAAGAAUGAACCCAACAUUUUUCAAUUAAAAAUAUGUCGAUAGAUAUAGCAAGUUGUAUAACCUUUCAAUUACAAAACAGAUUUCAAUGGGGAUUGCAUCCGGUACAUGCAACUAAAGAACAGAACCGGUGCAUAAAUUGAUUUAAUUAAACUUUGGGUUGAGUAAUCAUGAUUUUCAUUAUUAUUAGACUACGUGAAUGUUGAUAUAAAAUGCUUGAGAGAAGGGUAUAGAAGAAACACAAAAUAAUGAGUGAUAUUAAUUUGUAGAUAAAGAUAAUAUUACAUAGUCGCAAAAAGCGACCUAGUACACAACGCACAACUCUAAAUUAGGAUAACUCCUCUGCUAUCCCUAUGGAUGGAUUUUAACAUCCAUAUUUAUUCUGUAGCUAUCGUUAUUUUGGCUUCCACUAGCUGGUGAACUUUCCAUGCCAAAACUUCACUUAACCCUGCAAAUGAAACAACAAAAAACACAACAUUAAAUGUUGAGCAAUUAAUAAGCAUAAGCAAUGAAACAACUCAUACGAACCUGCUGCAGUCAGUGCUAGGGCUGAUCUUGUAAGGGAUGUUGACACCGCACUUGCCUGGGAGUCCGCUUGCAAUACCAUAGUUGAUGCCAGGAAUGCCGGCGGCCGCACUUUUGAUGCAUUUGCAAGCUGCUUGCCGGUCUGGUGUUGUUUGGGCGGCGGAGUUGAGAGAUUUGAUGCCGCUGCAGCAACCUUGGGGAACGGCACCAGCACCAUUCCCUCUCAAGUAAUUAAUGCAGGGUGCGAGGGAGCCUGUGACUUGACCACAGGUUACGGUCCCUUGAGCCAGGGGUGCACCCACCACCAUGCACAACACCACCACACAUGCAAGCUUAAGGGACAUUGAGCUAGCCAUAUCGAUUAAUUACAAGAAAAACAAACUUGUAAGGAAAAUGCUUGCUUGGAGUAGUAGUAGUAUUGCUGAUUGUUGCGUGGUUAGGGCCCGAGGGUAGGAGGGUUUUUAUAGCCAAAAGUUUUGUGAAGGGAUAUGGAACGAACUGAGAAACACGUACGAAUAGAAUAUGGUUAGGCGUUGGUAGUUGUCCCAAUUCAAUGCCAAGGUUUCUUUUUUUCUUUUUCAUGUUUCAGCUUAUGGUUGAGUGUGUUUAAUGCUUUGAAAAAGGUUUGUAUCUACCACUUUCAUCUUCAUCACUAAUGCUGAAUUACUCCGUUGAUUAAUGCAUCAUAUUAGCCUUGUCCUAGUGUUACCGGUUUUCUGAUAUUAGUAGCUUUACCAAUAAAAGAUGCUAUCAAAUAUAGUUUUCAGGAUGAUAUUAAAAAUUAAGGUUUUUUAGUUACAAAUAAAAUUGUCACAUUAUCAAAUUUUAAAGAUAUGAAAUUAUUAUUAUAAACUCAUCUAUAGAGAAAUUAUUUUAUGAGCCCUUUCCACCACAUUAUUCACAGUCCAUUUUCAAUUAUUUAAUAAUAUUUCAACAAUAUUUUUCAUGUCAUUGACACAUAAUUUUAAUAAAUUUUUUACCCUGAACCUUGAGUCUAGAAUCCCAAACCCUAAAUAAAAAACUUAAAACCCCAAACUAUAACCCCAAACACUUGCAUCAUAAACUCGAACCGCGAACCUCAAACUCAUAAUCUGUAACCUUGAACCCAAACUUGUAAUCUCGAACCCUUGAACCCUUGAACCCUGAACCUAAACCUUGAACCCUGAACUCAAAGCCCAAAACCAAAACUGAACCCUGAACCUUAAAUCUCAAACCCAAACCUUAAACCUCGAGGUUUGGGUUCAAGGUUCAAGGUUCAGGGUUUGAGUUCAAGGUUCGAGGUUUAGGAUAAAAUAAUUACCAAAAUUUGUAACAGAAUAAAAGAGUUCGUUUAUAAUUUAAAAAGCAAUUAUUUUAAGUAAUUUAAUUAAAGUGAAAUUAAGUUAGAGAAAAUAUUAGAUAUAGAUGAGUGUAUAAUAAUACUUUAUUGUCUUUAAAAUUUAAUGACGUGGUACUAUUUUAUUGGUGCCUCAAACUAUACUUUUUAGAAUAAUCCUAAUACAAUUUAUUCCCAUAUUAAAUACGUAUGCUUUCUAUAUUUUUUCGAAAAAAUAAAUUUUAUUCAUAAACUUUCUAUAUAUAAAUAUAUGUUUUAUUUAAAAUUUAUAAAUACAGAAAAAUUAAAAUAUAAAUAUAUGUCAAAGUAGCUAUUAAGUGUAGAAUUAAACAAUUAUAACAUAUAAAUAGAUUAAAAAUUAGGACAAAAAAUCAAUCUAUUACAUAAAAUAUAAAUUAUGAAUGAAAACAAUCUAAAUUAUAGUCUGGCUAAUCAAACUAAAACUUACAUAUAACCAUAUGACUUUAAGGGUCUUGAAUAUGGUUACUUAAAAGCUUAUAGUUCAGCUUUUACCCACUACGUCAAGGCUUCAUUUACGUUUUUUUUAACCAUAUAUUUUUCAUAUAAUUAUAUAUAUAUAUUUUGCAUAAAAAAUCCCCAAGACGUUAAUUACUUCUAUAUAAUGUAGCGAUUAAGUCCUCAAACAAAAAUUGCUCAACAUCAAUGCAUGUAUAGAUCAAUUUUAUAUAUCAAAGACCAAUACUAUCUUUUUCUUAAAAAAAAAAAAAAACCAAUAUGUUGUGAUUGCUUAGCUAUUGUUCCUAAGUCUUCCUGAAAAAGGUUUCACAGCGAGAGGAGAAAAAAAAAAGUUGAACUUGUCUUGGUUUGCCCCAUAAUGAUUGAAGCAUAGACAAGAUUAUAAAUGUUAAUUUAGUAUACGACAUAAUAAUAUAAUAUAAUAUAUUUAAAUGUAUAUCUCCUCACCUCCUAGACGCUGUCAGUUAUUUUAUUUUUUGGGAUUCUUUUAACAAAAGGUUGAGCUUUUUAUUAGGUUUUAUUUGAUUUUUCAUUUAUUAAUAUAAUUUUUUUAUUUUUAUAUAUUUUAGUUAUUAUUAAUUUUUGUUGGAAAUUUGUACGGUCUUGUUCUAACAACAAUUACAACAAGCUUUUUGGAACAAUCAAAAGUUUUGGGUGUUGGCAUGUUUGACUUUUAAUGGCUUAUGUUUUAAUAUUAGUUAACAACAAAUGAUAAGAGAAUUUCAUGGUAAAUUAGAAUAUAAUUAUCAUCCAUUUGAUUAGUCUUGAAGAGGAAGGAGAGGAGUUUUAACUUUGGUGGACACCCAUCCUUAUCCUUGUCUUUUAGAGUGUUUGAAGCUAUUGGAGAACUUGGUUUUAAAGAUUUUAUUUGAUAAAUAUUCAAAAUAAUUAAUUUGAUAAUUUCAACUUUUAAAGGAGAGUUUAAAACUUAUCAAAAUAUUAUUUGAUAAACACUUGUAGAGGCGUAUAAAUAGGCAACAGUGUGGUGUAACUUUGUUUGUUGUUUUGGAGUGUCUUAAACUUUUAUUUUUUUGCUAUUCCAUUGGGUAACUUUAUGACACUCUCUUUUUAGGUAUUAUUUGGAGAUGUUUAGUAAUUGUAUUGUGAGGAAUUUGAGUGAGUGAUUGCAUUGAAGAAAUGCGACCUAAAUGUAUAUGUUAAACUCUUAUCUAGGACAUAAAUUCCAUGAACAAGGUACCCAUGUUAAUAACAUGUCACCACUUCGCAUCUUUAUGGUAUUGACCCUAUGUAGUUAGACCCUAUAUGACGUAAACAACACUUAUAGUGUGCACGAUAUCGUAGGCUUGAACGUUGAUUGAAUGCAACCUAUAUUUUGGUGCCUUUGUCGGAAAUGAUGUAUGCAUCGGGUUGCGGUACAAAUGCCUUCUCAGGUUAGUUAAGAAGAAAUCCCAUUCAUCAUUGGAUUCUUCAGGAGUUAUUACAAAAGCUAUUGGCAGGAUUUUUAGGUUACCAUCUUAUGCAACAACUACUAACAACCGAUGGUCGCAUAUUCUAUACAGGAAUGUGCCGUUAAUUUGGAAAAGUGGCUUACAGUACCAAAAUGUAGUUCUGCAUUGCUUAAAAGUCCAAAAGCAACGGUGGAAAACUCCUUUUCCAGGGACCAAGCAAUCGUCAUAAUACGCAGGCUCCAUUUUUAACUUGGUUACAGAACCUAGUAUGUACCACUCUAGUAUCUAACACCAUUGCCACAAUUUAUAGUAGGAUUUCUCCCACCCUCUAUUCAUUUUCUCCAAUGCCUUCUAUUUUUGCAACUAUGUCUUAUGCUAGGACAUGGUGUAAUCGGAUUCUCUACAGAUGUGUGCGAUCAAAAUUGGGACCAGAAUCGUAGGACUUGCUUUUGCCAUGGGUAAUAGAAUUUUAGAUAUCAUGUCUAAAUCUAAUUUUGGAUGAUCAUUCGAUAUGCUUGAAAAACAAGAAAUCAAGUCACUAUGUGUAAUAGAAUGUAAAAAAAGGCUAGGAUUCGAGUCGAUGUUGUUAGCCAUAUUACAUACCAGCUACAACACAUGUAUGUGGCACGAUAAAUUUCCUACGUUUAAAAUGCCAACUUCUUCGUCAUAAAUGCCAUGAUUUUCCAUAGACAUCUUGUUGCACGCAUUGUGCGCAUCGCCUUAUAUUUCUCGGAUUGAGAGCAUGUAAUAGUGAAGUUGACACCAAGUUGUAUGCUAUACUACUUGAUUGUAGCUACAAAAGCAUAUUUGGAGUCAAAUUCCAUCCCAACCUCUAAGUGGUCGAAAUUUGUUGAUGAAGUCGCAUACCUUAGUCUUCUACGGGGGAGGUCUGGGAAUUCUAAAACCACUUUCACUAGUAAGACUGAGAGUACGCAUAUGGGGUGGGGGUUUGUAUUUCGUGAAACUUAGGUCAUCCCCUCGAGCGAUGUCUAAAGCUUGACCAUUAGAUCCAUCGUCUUCUAGUUCAGUAGGAAUGGGAUCUAGUUCUAAAAUUACUACAAUUUCGCACCAUCCAGUCCAACCACCUCUCCUGGGUCAUUAUCUGAUUUAGACCCCUCUUUGACCACUUUGUUCUCUUGUCCCUCUUUGUUAUCAACCCUGGUUGUAAGUCCAGGGUUGGAUGUACCCUCUCUGGUCAAAGUUGUCAAGAGUAGAUCAUUCAUUCUUGUAAAUCCGAUGUCAAUCCCAAAAUCAAUUCUGUUUGGCCUACCCAGUAACUUGAUGGUGUACCAUAUGAGUGUUAUCGAGGUUGAACAUAGGUGUGUCAAAGUUGAAACCAAAGGCACUGAUAGAAUGUUGUGCGGCUGUGUUGUAGGCCUGGUGACCGAAUACGUCUAACUAUCCCCCGAAGUUGAAAUCGAGGGAUGAAAUCGAUGAAUGCCUCACCAUUGAUGAUGUUAAUAAUGUGUCUUUGUAUAAGCUUUGUAGAAAUGAUCUGAAUCCACAACAAAACCGUGUGGCCAGACUUUUUGCUUCUUGAUUUGGCUAGAAAUUUGGCGGACACGGUAUAAUCGAGCUUGGGCCACCUUUUUCCUCUUCAGCAAAGACUGUAUAUUCUCACUAGAGUAAUGAGUUUCGAUCACUGUCUUCAAACCGUUGUCCCCUGUGAUCUGAAAAAUGGAAUAUCUAACGGGGUUAAAUGAUGUUAGAUAUCUACAUUUCAGGCUCAAAAUUCUUCUUCAGAUCCCUACUUUAUGCCUAAACCUUGUUCAAAGCUCUUUUAACGUUAUGCUCUAGUUGAAUGUCAGAUCUUUAGAUUGGGUUGAUACAAAAAUGGGCUCAAUUUCAGCCUCACAAUUUUGACCGUUGUAAUGGACAAUAGCUCUGGCUCGUCUCCUCAUCUUGAACCAAAUAUUCUAUUCCACAUGUUUAAAAUCGAGAAAAUUGUAAAAAUAUAGUUCUCAUCACCCAAAUCCCUAAAUUUACACUUACUUUAAUGAAAUACCUUUGCUUCGACAAUAUUGUCAGUAUAAAAUUUUUGUUUUUUACUACAACAUCGAUAACUCCUAAUGCCAACAAUCUGCUUCAAACAUCUGUAUGGAAAAUCCAAGAAUUAUAUUGAGUUUUUUUAUAGAGCCUUUUCCUCGACGCACAUGAAACGAUUCUAGCAACAACACAUGUCAAGGCAUUAGUUGUUUUUGAGGUAUACACUAAAAAUUAAAAUUUGUGGGGGAGAAAACGUUCCCCGCAACGAUGUUUUUCAGCACCUAGACAUAGCAUUGAAAUUUAUCCUAGGAAUCCCGGGUUGUAGGGGCUUAGAGGUUGAAGCAAUCAAGUUGGCUUGGGUAUUGAAAGACCAUAAAGAAAAUGCCUAUUGCAGGAAGCAUUUCCACCUGACUUGGCAAUCAAAAUGCCUCCUGCAGGACGCGUUUUCCAGCCACAUCUCUGAUAUGUUAGUCGAAAACGCAUCUUGCAAGAGGCGUUUGUACUGCCAUGUUAGGUAAAAACACUUCCUGCAGGGAACAUUUUCUUUAUGGCCAUUUCAACACCCAGGCCAACUUAAUUGCUUCUGCCUCUGAGCCCUUACAACACGGGAUUCUCGGGAUAAAAAAAUUUCCCUUUUUACCCCACCCCAUCCCUUAUAUAAAUGCAUGUUCUCAUCCCCUACUCACCCAUAUCUCAGUCUCCUUUAAAUUAUUUUUUUCUUUUUCUUCCGUGUUGAAAUUUUCAAGUUUAAAGAUUUAUUUCUCUCACACUUUGAGGGGGAUGUAAUCAUAGUUUUAAGUUGUGUUUGAGUUCACAAUAAUGUCGUGGCGCUUGAUAACUUACAAAUUUCACUUGUCGUGUGAGUAUGGAGCCAUCACUUGAGAAAUCGAGAUCGCUUUGCAACUCGAGGUCCAAGUUGACGGUGUAAAUAAGGCUUCAAGUUUACAAAGGUUAUGCUAUUAAAAGGAUGGAGCAAAACCGGGACUGUAGUUGAUGAUGGUGAUGCAAGCACAAGAACUAGUUUUUCCUCAUUGGAAGAGCAUACUUUAUAAAAUCCAUAUACAAGUACGAGGGAGAAAAUCACAGGGGUCUUCCAGUAUAAUCAAGUAAUUCAUUUUAUCCUUUUCCAGCAAAGGCAAUGACCCUGUUACUAAAACCUAUUACAUCCCAAUUCUAUCAUAGGUAAUAGUAACGGUGUCACUGUCUUUGGUGGAGAUGGAUAAAAAAAUUUACUUAAUUAUACUGAGAUACCAUUGCAUUUUUCUUCCUCGUACUUGUGUAUGAGUUUUAUAAAGCAUCAUUUUCUAAUGAAAAAAGUUUUUUGUCGUGCCCGCAUAACCAUUGUAAAUUACAGCUCCAAUCAUACUCCGUCCUUUGAUAGCGUAACAUUUUGUAAACUUGAAGCUCUAGUUACACUUCAAUUUCAGACCGUAUAAUCACCCUUAACUGGGACCAUGAGUUGCAAUGCGAUCUGGCUUCUCGGGUGAUGGCUCCAUACUCACAUGACAAAUGAAAUUUGUAGGUCACCUAACUCCACGACACCACCAUAAAUUCAAACAUUCCUUAAAACUAUAACAGUGUCUAUCUCAAACAAGAAUGAAAAUAAAUGUUCAAACUUCUAAUUUCAAAUUGCAAGAAAAAAAAAAGAAAAAAAUAAAUUUUAGCAAAGUAAAAAUGGGUCCUACCGGCACAUUUUCAUUGCCACAUCAAUGAAAAUACACCUCGUACGACACGUUAUUCUUUCUUCGUAAACAAUGUAAAUCAAUAAAUUUAAAAAAAAAUUAUACAUUCUCAAAUAACUCUUUUUUUCAGCAUUUUUGUUAAAUUUAUCCCAUAAUACUGCUACUUCUUGUUUCCUGGGUUAUUUUUAUUACUGCUGGUUGUACCACCCUCCUACUGUGCGCCGGUUAUAGCAACUCACUCAAGAUUCUAAAUACUAAUAUAAACACCAUUUCUUUUAUUCUUAGUUUUUUUAGUGAUUAACGUGGUUUUAAUUAUCGUUAGAUCACGUGGGUGUUUAUAUGAAAUGCUUGAAAUCGUCACGCAGGACAAAAAAAAAAAAGAAAAAGAAAAGGAAAUGAAGAGUAUAUAUAUAGAGGAAACAACUAGUGAGAGUGAUAUUAAUAUUUAGAGUAGGUAAAGAUAGUAUUAUAUAGUCGCAUAUGCGACCUUGUACAUUACCACUAACUCUAAAACUAGGAUAACUCCAACAAUGAAUAGUACCGCUAUGGAUUUUUAACAUUCAUUUUUAUUCUGUCGACAUCACUAUUUCCCUUCCAUUAGCUGAUCCCAACUUCCAUGACCACACUUCACUUAAUGCUGCAAAUGCAACCACACCAAACAAAACAUUCAUAAAUUAAUAAAUCAAUUGCCAUAAGCGAUAAACUUUGGGUCAUUUUCUUUUUCCGUAAUUUCAAAGAAACCUAGUUUAAAUUAGAUACGAACCUUUUGCAGUCAGUGGAAGGGCUGAUCUUGUAAGGGAUGUUGAUACCGCACUUGCCUGGGAGUCCGGCUGCAGUGCUAUAGUUGAUGCCAGAAAUGCCGGUGGCCGCACUUUUGAUGCAGCUGCAAGCUGCUUGCCGGUCUGGUGUUGUUUUGGCGGCAGAGUUGAGAGAUCUGAUGCCGUUGCAGCAAGCUGGGGGAGCAGAACCAGCACCAUUCCCUUUCAAGUAAGCAAUGCAGGGUGCGAGGGCGCUUGUGAUUUGACCACAACUUAUGGCCCCUUGAGCCAGGGGUGCACCCACCACCAUGCAAAACACCACCACACAUGUAAGCUUAAGGGACAUUGAGCUAGCCAUAUCAAUUAGUCACAAGAAAACAAACUUGUAAGGAAAAUGCUCGCUUGGAGUAG